rnacentral:lncRNA from 1 species
GAUUGAACAAAUACAUGCACAACAGUUUCAGCACGAUGGCUCUCACCUCCCUCCUCCUCCACCUCCUCCUCCUCCUCUCUUCUCUCCAUGUCAGUAAUUUGUCAAGCUUUCACUCUCCAUGCGUACCCAACUGCUCAUCUCUCUCUCUCUCUCUCACUCUCUCUCUCUCUCUCUCUCUCUGUGUUUUCAUGCAAAGACAGGGCUAUAUGUUUAAUUCGAUAUCUCGCCCUUAAUUAGUAUAUACUUCUUACCUAAGAAUUGCUGAAAAAAUUUUGCGGCCAUUUACUCCAUUGGCAAUUACUUCUCAUCCAUUAUUUGUCAACCCAAUCUCUCUAUACUGGUUUAGAGUGCACAGGCUAUCGGAUCAAAUGGGGAACCCAGGCUUCAUAAGAACUAUUCGAUUUAAUUUACGCAUGCAAGAAGCUAAACAUAUUAGUUUGUAUCAAAAUUAAACCUCAUAAUAUUAUAUAUAUCUUCAUACCAAAAAAAAAAUAUAUAUAUAUAUAUAUCUCAUUUGGGUUAUCUUAACGCAUGUUAGUAGAUCAAUUGUGUUUAUGUGUUCUUUAGGCUAACAAAGAAAUGUGAAUGAAACGUAGAUAAUCAAGGGAACAUAUAAUGAUUUGAUAAUAUGAAAGCAUGUAAGUUGCAAAAGUCAUUUUAAGUGAUUGAGCAUGACGUUACUACUUUUAGACACAAGUAUCAAAUAACAUACAUUAAUGAUUGUUAGGAAUAAAUUGUUGGGUCAUCCAUGUUCAUUGUAAAGAUAAUUCCGAUGAUGCUAUUAUGCGGUUCUAAUUUCGUGUCACGUGACUUGUACCUUUUUGCAUGUUCAUUACAAUUUUCAGUAUGUCUAUUUUACUUCCAUAAUUAUGUCAUUGCACAGUUACUUAAGUCCAUAAUGUCCAUUCUAAUCGUGAUUAUAUAAACUUCUAGCUCACAGUCACUCUUUGAUUUUCUUCUGUGGAUUGUCCUGCGAUAGGUCCCCAGCACCGUCGCUAGGGCCACUCCCGAGGCCGACUUCCUCGCCCGCGAGGCUAACUCGAUCUCUCCCAAAGCAUACCUUGUCCAUUACUGGAACAAGCAAAUCACCAACAACCUUCCCAAGCCACCAAUCCUCUUCUCCAAAGCGUCACCUCUGACGACCGCGUCAGCGACCAUCUUCGCCGAACUCGUUGCCAAAGGCGCCAUCUCUGACCACCUCCUAUCGUUCUGCGAGGAGGCGCAAUUGCUCUGCUUCAUGAACUCAUCAUCUGAUGGGGUCGCAAGGACAAAUGCACAGGUGUAUAGUUACACAAAUUGCCCCCCUCCCCCCCCAGCCGAUACAAUUGUGGCAACUGAUGACAAGAAAGUAAAUGGCGGCGUGGAGGAGGGCGCGUUUUUUCGAGAGUCGAUGCUGAAGAGCGGGAAUGUGAUGCCAAUGCCCGACAUCCGGGAUAACUUGCCCAGAAGGUCAUUUUUGCCUCGCGGCAUUUCCUCCGAAAUGCCGUUCUCAACCUCGAAGCUCGCUGAGCUGAAGCAAAUCUUCCAUGCCACUGAAAAUUCCGCGAUGGAGAAGAUCAUGGCACAAAUACUAGGCCAGUGCGAGGUUGCAGCACUCCAAGACGAAACCAAGAGGUGUGUGGCCUCCAUCGAGGACAUGAUCGACCUUGCCACCUCGGUUUUGGGUCAUGACGUCAUGGUCCGAUCCACGGAGAGCGCCGGAGGGUCGAAGCAGGAGGUCUUGAUCGGGGUGGUCAAGAGGAUCGACGGCAGCGAAGUGAGCAAGCCCGUGGCCUGUCACCAGAUUCUAUUUCCUUACGCUGUCUAUUACUGUCAUGCAUUUCCAAAUGUCCGGAUUUACGAAGCAGACAUACUAGAUCCCAAAUCCAAGGCUAAGAUCAAUCACGGUGUCGCCAUUUGUCAUAUGGACACAUCAGCUUGGGGCCCUACUUACGAGGCAUUUCUGUUGCUUGGAUCGGGUCCUGGCCAGAUCGAGGUCUGCCAUUGGAUAUAUGAGAAUAACAUGAUAUGGACAAUUGCCAAGUCAUAAUGGAAGAACGAAGUGUGGUCAAGAUGGAAUAAACAUGGGUUCGGCCUGGUGAUCAAGAUAGAACUUGGUCUUUAGCUACCUCCAACCGAAAGCCUCUCUUGCUUUGCAUUACAAUCUAAUAUAGUAUCUGAAUCUGAUAUCAACAAAAACGUGUUUGUGUUUGGUGUGAAACAGUUGUCAUGGUCAGUAAAUGUCAAGUGUUUUUUUUUUCUUGUGAUUUGAGUACAUGUUCAAGUCUUUUGCAUUCUCCUGUCCUUUGUGCUUAGAGAUCUUCCUAUCUCUCGAUUUGCGUUACUAUCUUUGAGAAUUUUCUUCAACUUUCGACGAGGACCAAUAACUAUUUUCACAGUACUGUUAUUAUAUAAACGAGAGACAGAUAAGAAUGCAGUUGUUUUAUUCUUACCUUUUACCAAAAAAAAGAAGAAGAAUGCAAUUGUUUUUGAUAAAAGAAAAAAAGAAAAAUAGUGAAAAGCUGCAAAAAUAGUUCAAGUGGCCCAGUGGUUGGGAGUCCCAACGUGAUCAUUUUGAUACACUUGACAUUGGGCCCGUCUAGUUCGGCUUUGGGAAAUGCCAUUGGGAGAAUGCAAAUACCUUUGAGGUAAAUGUGUUUUUUGAAAUGCUAGACUGUUUGGUAAACUAUAACUGAAAAGUGAUUUAGGAAAAUGCAAGACCGUUUGGUAAACAUAUAUUUAAAAAGCCCUUUAGUGUAACCAAAUUAAGUUUUUUAGUUUUAGUAUUUUUAAAAUUGCAAAAAAGAAAUAAUGACUAUAUAACCUUUUACAUUUUCAUGUCGAAAGUAAUGUAAAAGACAUAUAUUAGCAAAUUUAUUUAAAAAUUAUAUUAAAAGAAUUUGAUUAUAGAUUAGAUGCAAAGCUCAAUUUUUGGCCUAGGGUUCUUUUAGGUUUGUUUUCAACUUUGAAUAAUUUUUUUAAAUUAUUGUAGUAUUAAUCAUCUUCGUCAAUUAAUGAUCAUUCUAGUGUAUUGAUAAAAAAUUGGGCUAUUGAUUGUCAAAAGAUAAAAAUGACAAAAAAAAAAAAGGCGAACCCAACAUUUGCAAAGAGUUUUUAUUAUUUUUUUAAAAUAUAAAAAUAAAAUCCGAUGAAACUCCAUCGCCGAUCAACGGCGGUUGGGGUGUGGGGAAGAUGAUCGGUUUAAAAAAAGAAAAAGAAAAAGAAGUCAACGGAUGAAUAGUAGAGGUGGACUUGUAUUUCCGAAAUGCUGGAAGCUCAAAGUAAGCCCCCAUUUGCUUUGGGCUUUCAGCAUUUCAAAGGCCAGCAUUUGGCCAAGAACACCUCCAAAUGCUGAACCAAACACCUAACUUUUUUCCCAAUGGGUUUUCGAGGCUGAGAGCCCUUUGGGAAUGCUAAACCAAAUAGGCCAUUGAACAACGAGAGCUGCCUGGUUCAAUCUUGAAGUGGCACUUCCCACUUUUUCUCCCCCUGAAUUUUGCUUUUAAACUUUUCUGCAUUUAUCUUUUGUUUGCACUUUCUCGGUUACAUAAACUACAUAUCAUCAGAUCAUUGCUUUCUUUUUUUUUUCUUUUUUCUUUUUGCUUUUUUUAAGCGUUUGUUAUUGGAAAAAGAUAAUUCAAUAAGAACCCCCUAUACGAGAUUAGACUUCUAAAAUCCUAAAAACUUCACAUGAAUGAUUCUGAUAUGAUAAAAAUGUAAAAACUAAAUUUAUUUUUGUUUCGCUAGAAUUACUCUCUUAAUGAAAUGUCUUUUACCAAAAGUUAUUCUUUGGUUUUAUUAAAGAGGACAAGGGUUAUGUGCCAACUCCAGACAAUGGAUAUCUAAUGCAAGAAGGAAUUGAACUUCUUUGGUCCAAACAACAUUGAUUUUAGGUUGAGUCGGAAUUAAUCAACAACAAGGCAAAAAAAAGUUACAAGACCGGUCUCAAAUUAUGUUGGAAUUUAAUCAACAACACAAAUUAGGGAUAGUAAGAUGUGGAGUUGGAAUUUAAUCAACGACACAAACUAAGGAUAGUAAGAUGUGGAAUUGGAAUUUAAUCAACGACAAUAUACCAGGAUAGUAAGAUACAAUACUGGAAUUUAAUCAACGACAAUGUACCAAGAUACAGAAACACGUCGGAAUCUAAUUAACGAUGAAAAUCUAAAAGCUAUAGCUAGGAAAAUUAAAGUUUAGUACAAGAAAGGCAAAUAUAAAAAGAUAACAUUUUGAUUGAUUUAUCAUAUGGCUUCUAGUUGGAUGAUUGGUUGUAUGAUAACCGUUUGGUAGUUACGUCUUCUCUAGUGCCUGCUACUGGCUUUGUCCAUGAUCCUUUAUUCUCAUAGAUCACUUUGCCCAUACUUCAUAUAACUGUCCUAGUCGUGUUUUGAGGAUUAUGCAACUGUCGAUGCCAUUCCAUGACUGGGGCUCCAAAUAGCAAUUGCUUUUUUACAACAUGCGCCUUUGAUGCUAACUACCUUAGUGCCUUAAGUAAUAUUCAAAGUGUCUCCAUUGAAAAAGUUGUUGCUAAAGUUCAUAUGAGGGGCUACCAAUCAUCCGUCAUCAUAUUUCAACAACCGAUUACAUGGCAUUUCUUUAUCUCAUCGUCAAUCAAAGGAUAUCUACUCUACGUCUGUUGAUAAUUUGGCAUACAUCAGACAUCACCUAGCCAUUAUGCACAUAAUUGUAACUUAUUUCUGAAGAGCUACGGCUGAGGUAAACCUCAACUUUAAUAUCAGCUAUAUAGUUCACAAUUUCACGAAAGAUCCUGUAUUUAUGAGAGGACAUGUAACAUUUUCAAUUAAGAUAAAUAUUUGUCACAUGUAUUUCCGUGUUUAUAUAAGUGACCCAAUUUGUCAUGCGAUUGAUAAAUCUCUUCGUUUGUAGCUAUACUUUUAUCUUUUAACAAUCUUAGCCCAUGGACCUACAUUGCUGAAUGGACACUUCUGAUGUAUUCGAUUCGUGGAUGAGUAUUUUUCUCGCUCGGCAGUGAUCGACCCAUGUGGCCACGAUGAAUAGUGGAAGCAAAAUUGACAUUGGCGAAUAGAGCUUAACAGAGAAGAUGUCGAGUCCAAUUGAAGAAAUCGUACAGGAUAGGGGUGGGACUUUGCAUCGAUAAAUUCAGGUUCUUUCAACGUAUUCUGUCGUUGGAAUGCAAGAGAGAUCAUCGAAAAAGUGUAUAGAUUAAGUCCCUAUUAUCUUUUACGAGUUAAGGGCACGAGCAUAGAGGCUCGGUUAUCUAAAGGUUCUUGGAACAUUCUACAAGCCUCAUAAAUCGUUUGAGCCCUAGUUUUAUAAUUGUUGGCAAGUUUGGAUAAAGGUUCUAAGGCUUUGAUUGAGAAGUCAUGAGAAAUCGGGUGGAUAGGUUAUUUGCAUAUGGACAGUUCUAGUAAAAUUGUUGACUCUGGAGAAAUCAGCUUAAGGUUCUUCAUGGGAUCCAAUAACCACAUAGACAUAUAUAUACCAUUAGAUGGUUAUUUUUUUCCACCAAAAAACAUCAUAUGAUAGAAAGUACGGGUUAUACCUAUUCUCUGAUGUAGUUUCGUUUUGUAAAUGAACCAAUUAGUCCUUUCCUCUCCUAAUCCUUGGAAAGUAAGCACACACCUAGAGAUUUCAUUUAUCUCUUGUGGAAGUGAUUUUGAUUAGGUUUACUCAUAAUGGCAUCCAAUGACUUUAACCCUAAUUCAGGAUUAGCUAGCCAAUUACAGAGUGUCUCUACUGGAGUACAUGCGCAUAUAUGGAAAAUCAAAGUUUCACAUCUUAAAAAUUUAUCUAAUCACUAUACAACUUGAUUAAUUAACCGAUAGCUGUCCAAUAUGAGAUACAGAUGGAUGCCCUUUUGUUGUUUAAUCGCAUUAAUACAAAAGACUUGUCCUUUUGCGAAAUUGGCAUUUUGCAUUAAGCCAUUUGUUUUGCAUUAUCAAGACUCACCAUGUCCAAAGCAUAGACGUGACUUACUACCUAAAUAGUUUUUGUCUGUAGCUAAUUCCGAAGUGUUUGUCCUUGUACUCUUCCAGCCUUUCAUCAAUCUCAUGGGCUAAUUCCCAUCACCCUACUUUGUUUUGUGCUAAAACGCAACUGAUGGCAAGUGUAUCUCCAAUCGAUAGAAUCUUUUAGGAGGAAAUUCUAUCCAAAUCUAACUUUUAUUUACACUGUGUCACGACCUAAAUUUCGGGUGUGAACCACCUAAGGUUUGGCUAAACUUACCCAAGCCCAUAUCAAUUCACGACUUAGGUUCAAAUUUUUUAACAUGCAAAUGGAUUUUAUCUAGGAGUUGCCACUAAUCAGUUUACGAUAAGUUGAUUAAACACCUAAGUGAAAUAAAAUAAAAUAACGGGAGAAUUAUUUCACUUCUACGAAUCAGAGAUUUUGGGUACGGGGACUUGGUUACACUAGAUUUCUCUAAUGCCAUUUCGAUACCCUUAUUUUAAUUUCAAAAAUGCUUUUGCAGGCAGCUUAAAUUGAUUUUAAAUCUAUUUCCCUAACAUGUGAGGCGAUCAUGCGAGUGCGCAAACUACCAAUUUAACACCCAAGUAAAGCAGUAAAUAAAUUGUAGGACUUACCUCAUAGCAAUGAAAGCAUCUGCAUUAUUAGAUCAGAAUUCACACAUCAACAGUCCUAGAUAUGAUUACUAAUUAACACGCAAUUUCUUUUUUGUUUUCACUUACUUAACGAAAAUCAUGCAAUAUGCAAUGCAAUAUAACUAAAUGACCUAAUUCUAAUGAUAAAUAAUUUCUAAUUAAAUGGGCCUAGCAACAAUUAUCAAAUCUAGUUCUAUAUGACAUGCAAUGACAUUUUUUUAUUUUUCCUAAAAAAUGCAAUCUAUCUUAAAGAAUGGAACUAAUUUAUUCUAAGACAUUUUUUGCAUUUUUUAUGAAAUUCGGAAUUAGGAAAAAUGUGAAAAUUAUCUAACUAGAUUAAGAUUCUAUUCAAUUUGCAUUAGGAAUUAGGUUAAGUCAAAUCCUAAUUUAAACUAAUAUAUUAUCUUAACCCAAAUAAUCUUAAAAUGCAAUCUAUUUAAGAAAAUACCUAAACUUAUAAUAAAUUAAGAAAAAUAUUAUCUAAAAUUAAAUUCAAUUUUACCCUAAUAUACAAUGACGCACAAAAUAUGCCAUAAUUCUACAUGACAUAUGCAUGAUGAUUUUUUUUUGGUUGUUUUUCCUUUUUUCUUUUUUCCUUUUGUAAUUUCGAAAUUAAUAAUUGCCAAAUAAUAAAACAUGCAAUCCAAAUUAAAAAAGAACUAGCAACCUAAAUUAAUUGAUUUUUUUAAAAUUUUUGAUUUCUGAAAAUUCAAAAUAAAAUUCCUAUUCUGAGCAUGCAAACCCUAAAACUACAAUUUUUUUUAAGAAAAUUAAUUUAAGUAACACCACAGUAAAUCAAGUAAUAUUGAUACCCAAAUUGACGAACCAUAUUUCACGCAUGAGAUCGAGUUGACCAAUUUCACAUAAAUUAGGAAUCGAAUCUCGGGCGGGAGAUUGGAUUGGCGAUUUUUUUAAGUAAUUGCUAGUCAGAUUUCGAACGCGAAAAUCGGACUGACAAUCACUAAUUUCACAGGCUAUUUCAUGUCGAACAUCUCAUCAUCAAAUAAAGAAACAAAAUGAAUAAUAAAAACUUAAUAAAUAAAUAAAUAAAAUAAAAUAAGAAAUCUACCUAAUUAGGGUUUUGGCCUUCCUAAACUAGGGUUAGCCGGCGGCUAGAUGGGUCGCCGUUCGGAGCUCCGGCGAGGGCGGCGGGCGGACCGGCGGUAGCAACAUUGACCAGCGGGCAGGGGCUGCUAUCCGGCGUUUAGGAGCAAGCCGCAAUUGGUUCGUCGCUCGGGCGUGCAUCGGGUCGCCGGGAGCAGCAAAGCGUCGGACCUCGGCGACCGGUCCUGGGUCGCGGGCAGAGGAGCGGCGUCGGGCUGUGGCUGCAGCAGGUGCCGAUUCUGGGUUUUUUGCUGAUGGCGUCGGGUCUUGCUGUAGGGGCGAUCAUGGACGGAACGGCGAUGCGGCGUCCGGCGAGCACGGGAAUCGGGUCGCGGUGCGAGCUCCUGUGGGUCGCUCGUAGACGCGGCAAGGUAGGCUUGCGGACGCGAGAUCUGCGGGUUGCGGGUCGCAGGCGAGGCGGAGCAGAAGCAGGUUAGCGCUGGGCGGCUUCGAGCUGCAGCUUCGGUUAGCGCAGAUCGGGGACGGAGAUCGGCUGAGGCGCGGUGGGUUUCGUCGGGCUGGUCGAACGGCGCCGAAGGCUGCUGCGACUUCGCGGGGGCGCCGGAACUGGGCUGUGGAUCGCGUACGGGGCGGCGAGACAGACAGACGGCGGCUGGCUCUGGAUCUGAUGGCAUCGGGGAAGGCCGACGUCGCGAUGGCGUCGCGGUGCUCGCGGAUGAGCGGCAGGGGUGGCGACGGCCGGCGCAGCGGAGGAAGCGCAGGCCGGUGCGGGAUCUCGCGCGGUGGUGAAGUGGCGAGCGGUGGUGAUCGGCGCAGGCGAGAUCGGCAGCAGCGGUCGCCGGCGGCUUCGCGAGGAAGACGAACAGUGGCUCCCUUUUUCUUUUUUUCUCUCUCUUCUCACGUCUCCCUCACAUCACAUCACCCUCACACGUCUCUCUCUUCUUGCUGCACCCUCUGGCUUCCUCUGUAGACUUUUUCCUUGUUUUUUUAUUGCAGCCGUCACUUUUCUCUCCCUCUUUCACUUUUUCUCUGCUGGCUAUUCCCUCGAAGAAAACCGAGAGAAACGGCCCUCUUAAUGUGGCCGCGUAUUCAAUGUUAGGCCACGGAUUAGGGUUUUAUAUUUCCAAAAAUUUCUUUUUCAAACGUAAUAUUUACAUUUCCAAACGUAAUAUUUACUUUUGAACUGAAAUCUUACAAAGAUAAAUCCGUAAAAUCUCUCCAAAGAUAUGGGUUUGGACCAAUUUGCUCUUUUCGUGGGUUUAGCACAACUCAUCAAAUUAAAGUUUCUGAAGCAUCAAUUCGAAUCUAUCCGUCACCGGCUCAAUGUAAAUGCAAAUUAAAAAAUAAAUACACCUAAAAUUAUAUAUUAUGCAAUUAACUAUUUUUUCAGGAAUAAAAUUAACCCAAAAUUUUUUAAUACAAUAAAUGACUAAAUGAGACACCAAAAUUUAGAUGUCAACAAUUUGAAACAUAUGUGUUUCUUGUGGUACAUAUGCAUAAAUGUAACUUACCCAUCAGAAGAUUGAGCAAGAGGAAAUCAUGACUUUGUUUUAAGGAAAAUUCCAAAUAAAGAUCCGAAAUGGACCGAUUUUCUCAAAUAAGGACCCGGAAUUAACUUUGUAUCAAAUAAAGACCUAAAAUUGACCUAUUGUCUCAAAUAAGGACUCGAAGUUGUUGAAUCAAUUCCAAAUAAGGACUUGAGCUUGAUAAUUAGCCAAAUAUUCGCCGGCUGUCAAGCAUGUGACAUUUCCAACGACUGGAGUUUGGGCAAUUUUGUCCAAAAAAAAUUAUAGGGAAAAUUAACAAAUCCUAAAACAAAAAGAAAAAAAAAAGCCUAGGUUUUCUACAGUCUCUUCGUUCCUUGUACCCAUGCUUUGCAAAGUCAAAGACCGAAGUUCUCCUCAUUUACCCAUCUUCUGCAAAGUCGAAGACCCAAAUUCUCCACCGGUUGAGGCACGAAUUCAAAAACAAGAAGAAUACCAUAUGCUUCUUUCUUUGUUUGCGGAGACCCAAAUUCUCCGUCGGUUGAGCAAGGUGAAUUGAGUCGCAACGAUGACCGGGCAGCGAUUUGGUUGAGGAGCAGCAAGGAAGAAGAAAGAAGAAAACGUAAACAUCUAAAUAAAUAAUCUAAACUUAAUUAAUUUAGAUUUUUCCUCUUUUUUUUCCGAUCACAAAUUUCCGACAAAAUUGCCCCUAUUUUAAUCAUUGGAAAAUGUCUGCCGGUGAGCUAAAGUCCUCAAUAGAGAUUAACUUGAUCACUUCGGGUACUUAUUUGACAUAAAAUUCACUUCGGGUCAUUAUUUGAAACAAUGAGUCUACUUCGGAUCCUUAUUUGACACAAAGUUUAUUUUGGGCCCUUAUUUGAGAAAAUAGAUCCACUUCGAAUCCUUAUUUGAAAUUUUCCCUUUUUUUAUAACAAAAAGAAGGCAGCGAAUAAUCGAUAUGAUACUUAUUAAUUGCAAGUUAUAUUAAAAAAAAACUAAUUAAGUUUUAUUUCUUCCGCUUGGCAGAGAACAUUUGAUAUGAAACUUUAAUUAACUGCAGAUUGUAAAACUAGUGGUUAAGAGUCCCAACUUGAUAGUUUGUGUUAUAACGUUUGACAAAAAUUUUACGAAACUAAUAGGGGUGGACACACAUUGCGAUAGGAACACCCCCACCUCCGUCCCAGCCUAACUAGCCCUCAUUACCGUCGAAUCUGUCAAUUGACAAUUGGAGCAGAUUCGAGCCCUUUGAUCGGUCUAAUCAUAUGAUUGAGAAAUCUCUAUGUUCAUAGCUAUACUUUUACCUUUUACCGAUUUUCUCCAAAAUUUUUAUUACGUAUGGAAUAAUGAACGGCCUAUAAUUAUUUGAAAUUGCCGCGGAAACGGACGGGAUCUUUCUAGCAUCACCUUACUACGAAGACUUUGUUGUGGGCUAAGAUUAGCGCAGGCCUUGGGCCUGCAUUGCUUGUGAAUGGCACUCACGAUGUCCUCGUUUCUUGGAUAAGCAUUUAUCUAGCUUGGCAGUGAUCGACCCAUGUGUCCUGGAUGAAUAGUAGUAGCAAAAUUGACAUCAGCGAAAAGGGGUCAACAGAGAAUAUGUCCAAUCCAGUUAAAGAUAUCAUACACAUCCGGGGUGGACCCGCCUUUGUCCAUGCGAUCCCAAACUUUAUGGACUGUGCACCGAUAAAUACAGGGUCUUUAGAAGUAUACUAUCGUUGGGAUGCAAGAGAGAUCAUCGAGAUCGCAUGGGGACCAAGUUAUUAUAUUUACGAGUUGACGGCAUGAGAGCAGAGGCUUGGUUACCUGGAAGCCUAUAGAAAACCCUGCAAGCGUCAUGAAUAGUCCAAGUGGUCUGCGCAGGUGGUUUUGACUAGAGCGGCUUGUACACGGUUAUUGGAAUACAAACAAAUGAACUCCAAUUUCUGACUUACCAAUCUCUAGAUUUGCAAUAGGCAAAUUGUUUCCCAUUUUAUCCAGUUCACUGGGUCAAGUUACAAAGAUAAUCUAAUUCGUUUGGAUAAAAGUUCUUAGGCUUUGAUUGAGAAGUCACGGUGAAUCGGGUGGAUAGGCUAUUUGCAUAUGGAGAGUACUAGUGAGAUUGUGGACUAUGGAUAAAUCGGCUUAGGGUUCUUCAUGGGAACCAAGAACCACAUAGAGAGAUAUAUCCUAUCAUAUGGUUAAUUAUUUCCAUCAAGAGAUAUAUCCUAUCAUAUGGUUAAUUAUUUCCAUCAAAACAUCAUAUGAUAGAAAACGUGGGUUAUGCAUAUUCUCUAAUGUAGUUUCAUUUUGCAAAUGAACCAAUUAGUCCUUUCCUUUCCUAAUCCCUGUAAAGUAAGCACACUUCUUGGAGAUUUUGAGAUUUUUAUUUAUCUCUUGUAGAAGUGAUUAUAAUUAGGUUACUCAUAAUAGCAUCUUAUCACAAUUACUUUAACCCUAAUUCAUGACUAGUUAGCUAGUGACACAGUUUAUCUAUUGGAGAGCAUGCACAGAGAUGGAGGCAGCGGGGAGAAUCUCAUCUACACGUGAAAUCACAGUUUCCCAUCUUGAACAUUUAUCAAAUUACUGUACAAUUUGAUUAGUUAACUAGGGCAGGUCCAAUCUGAGAUAUAGAUGGGUGCUCUUUUCUUGCUUAAUCACAUUAUUAGGGAAGAGUUGUCCUUUACGAUAUUGGCAUAUUGCAUUAUUCCAUUUGUUUUUCAUAAACUAAGACAUGUCCUAUAUGAGGCAUAUAUGGAUGCUUUUCUUUAAUCAAGUCUUUUUCAUGUAAUUUGAUAUAACUUACUACCUAAGUAGUUCUUGUCUUUAGCUAAUUCUCAAGUGUUUUUGUUUUUUUUUCCCUAUUCUAUUCCAUCCUUUCACCAAUUAUGUGGGCUUUCCCAUCACCUUCCUUUAUUUUAUGCUCAAACGCCUUACAGAUUCCACGUGAUGAUAGAAUGACUAGAGUCCAACAAAAAUCUAAUGCCUCGCUCUUUAUUAUUUAGAACUUAGGAGUUCCCCACAGACCAAUUUAUUUUUUGAGCUUAGGAGUCCCUAGACACCGACUUAUUUUUUAUAUUUUAUAUUUUCCUUUAUAUCAUGCUUUUGAUUAGUAGGUCAUAGCUUAUGGACAUCAUUCAGAUGUGUACUCAAUUAAAUUUCAAUAAGGGCAAUAUCCGUAUAUGUAACUAACCAAUCAUAAGACUGAACAAGAGGAAAUCAUGACCCUUUUUUUUUAUAACAAAUAGAGUCAAGGGAUUGCAAUGAUAUACGUCACUCAAGCCUUAGGUUCAAAUCACCCCAUUUGUGCAAGUACAAGCCUAUGUAUCAACAGUAAUUACUCGAUUGGUGUUAUAGAUUUGUCCAAGAAUCAACCGGAAUAUGAUACUGAUUAAUUGCAAGUUGAACUAGACUAACUAUUAAGUUUUAUUUCUUUCGCUUGGCAGAAAAGAUUUGAUAUGGAAACUCCAAUUAACUGCAGAUUGAACUAAAACUACAACUUUUGUUUCUUUCGCUUCAUCCAUUUGUCCUAGGGAAUCUCUCUCUCUCUCUCUCUCUCUCUCUACCAUCAGUCCUAUAAAUUUCAUGCUCAAUCAAGCGAACCCUCCAACAACAUCAGCAUUCCCUCUCUCUAAAGAAAUGAGCGAGAUCAGUUUUAUCAAAAUGUCUCUCGUCUCCCUCUUCCUCGUCCAGCUGUUGUCAAUCCAUGUUAGUCUUCUCAAGCUCUCUUCCCUCCCUUUCCACACACCAUAAUCACUGCUCAUCCUAUUUACGAACUUCGCAUGCAUUAACGCUCAUAGUUCGUUGAUCUUGUUUAUGUUCCUAUUUAUGUUAAAAGAGACAUGCAAAACACAAAUCACGAAGUGAAAGACAUAUAUAAUGCCAGAAUGUAUAGGAGGUUUAUGUGUUUGCUUAUUUUUAUAAUAUAGCGUCUCCAUUACUUAUGCUAAGCCAGAUAUGAUGUAUUGAUAAGGAAAAAAAUGACUAUUGUCAUUCAGAUUAUGGACAUAAGUUGAAGGAUUGGUCAGGAAUAUUUGUCAUGCUAUCUAUUCUAUUCUCAAAAGUUGAUUUCAUUCUUGUUAUCACGCGAGCAGAACUUCUUGCUACUUUGCUUACGACCAUUUGCACGUUCAUUGCAGUUUCAUCCAUGUCCCAUGUAUAUGCUGCAUAAAUAUUUGACCAAGUCUGCUUGGCAUCGUACUGCGAUUGUGAUGUAGCCUUGUUUGUCUUAUGACUGAGUUGUAAAUUGAAUUUUAGGGCUCGAUAUCUUUUAAACUGGGUGAACUAUCCUAGGUCGGUCGCAUUGUGCUAGCUUUCUAGUUACUUACUGAUUUUCUCUUUUGUCCCGCUAUAGGUUGUUUCCACCAACACGAGAACCGCCACCAACGCCAACUCCCUUGCCGGCGAUGCCAACUCAAUCCCUUCCAAAGAAUACCUUGUCCGUUACUGAACUGAACAAAUCACUAGCAACCCUGCCAUACCACCACUGCUCACAUCCAAAGUUUCACCCUUAACUGCUGCACAAACAACCCUUUUUGCCCAGCUCGUGGCUAAAGGUGCUGUUGAAGAUCACCGCCUCUCUCUCUCCUGGAGUUCUCUAGAUCUUUCUCUAGAGUUCUCCAUAUCUCUCUUUGGAUUUCUCCAGAUUUCUCUCUCUCUAUUGCUCUAGAUUUUUCUCUCCCUCUCUCUCCAGAUUUUUCUCGGCCAUUUUGUUCAUGGACUCCACCGACUUUGGCUCCUAUAAAUAGGGGCUGUUGUCUCUUGAAGUGUAAGUGUGAGGGGUGUUGUGUGUGUAAGUGUGUACGUGAGUGUGUGGGUGGAGUAGGUGGCGUGAAGUGUAGAGAAAUAGAGAAUAAGUGGGUGUGUGCGAGAGUUGUGUCCGUGUGAGGUUUGUGAGGGAGUGGGUAAGCAAGUACAAUGAGUUGUUGUGAGAGGAUGAUAAAAUAGAGAGUUGUAAUAUUGUUCUAUAAUAAAAGUAAUUAUUUUACUUGUACAUCCACUUGCUUCUCAACAAUUGGUAUCAGAACAGGUCGUCAGAGGCCGUGUGAAAACAGUGGUCGGGGACCAUUGUAAGUGAGCAAGGCGGUUAGGGAUCAUCGAGCCAAGGAGCGAAGAAGCGAAGGACGUCGGAGUUCUGCAUGUGCACAAUCUGGGAUUGUGAAGUCGGUUGGUCCGGGACCAGGCUUACUUGGUAUAGUGCGGGGCAUUAUACUCAAGUCACGAUGGCGGAUUUCUUGAGUUCGGUAAGUGGCAUCGAGAAGCUCAACAAAUCAAAUUAUAAUAAUUGGAGUACCCGCAUACAAUAUUACUUGCUAGGACAAGAUUUGUGGGAUAUUGUUGGCGGGAGCGACACCACCCCACCCACGAAUGAUAGCGAAUUAAGAAAAUGGAAUAUAAAAUCGGGUAAGGCUCUUUAUGUGCUUGCCGUGACUGUUGAAGAUGAAUUACUGCAACACAUAAAGAGUGCGACGACCCCGAAAGAGGCCUGGGAUAACUUGGCGACACUGUUUGCAACGACAAACGAUGCGAAUUUACAAUGCCUGGAGAACAAGCUCCUCUCAAUCUCGCAACAAAAAAUGACGGUGAGUCAAUACUUUUCUAAAGUUAAAUCUAUUUGGAAAAGAAAUUUCAAAAUUAGAUCCUGAGAAUGCCAUCUCUAAAACAAGAAUAAGAUGAAUAACGGUAUUGUUACAGCCACCCGUGGAUGGGCAAAUGAGCCAACUCUAACAGAGUUGGAAAAUAUAUUGGCCAAUCAAGAGGCCUUAGAUAAACAAAUCCCUAAGGUCUCAAUUAAGGAGGAUGAGAGUGCCCUCUUUAGUAAUAAAAGAGCGUUCAAGGGCCAAAAUAGAAAUAGAGUAGGUGCAAGAGAUGGCAAACCAUGGAAAAAUCAUGGAGAUUGGCAAAGGCAACCAUAAGAGAAGGGUUAUCAGCCAGGGGGAGCUCGUCAAGAUCGCGACGACGAUGACGAUGAAGACAAGAGCAACAAAAGGCGUAGCAAACGGUGCUACGUUUGUGGCAAGAUAGGACAUAUUGCCAGAUUCUGUUGGUACAGGCAAGAAGAAGGAAAUGUCGUCACUUCUUGCAAGAAGGAGAUUGAAAGUGAAGAAGAAUGGGACUUUCAAGAGCCUGUUGCAGUGAAGGAACGAGAAGAGCUUGCAACCGCUUGUAUAAUUGAGUUGGAUAAUUCGAUAGGUUCUAUCACAACCCCGAAUAAGAGCAAGCCAAGGGAGAACUUGAAGAAACAACUAACAAUGCCAACAAGCAGUCGUGAAAGGAAAUUGCAAGAGAUGCAGGAGAUGAUAAAGAAGCUGAAAGUUGAGAAGACAAAGAUGGAGAAUAUGUUGAAGAAAAGGGAUAAGAUGAUAAGGCAGAAGGAUGGAGAGCUCAAGGCAAAAGAAAGGGAGCUAAAGAAGUUCCGAUGUGAGUUCAAGAAGCUAUAGAAGCUUCAGGAUCUCAAGCCCGCUAUGAUGUUCCCAAUUGGUCAUACUAAGAGAGAUAUCAAACACAUGAAGGAGAAGAAGAACGGUUUCUUUGAGGAAAGGAGGCCAUCUACACCUUACAUCUCGUGUAAGAAUCGGUGGAAUAAAAUCGAGGGGAAGAAAUUUUAUGAGGAAAAGGAUCAAGAGGUCUACAUUGAAGUGCUUCGGAUGGGACUGAAUCGAUUGAAGCACGAAAUGGAAAUCACAAAUGAGAGGCUUGAUCGAAUGAGUUCCAAUCUCACAAUUCUUAUAGGAGAUAUGUCGAAUACGAAGACCAAGUUGAGUGAGAAGAAGGAAAAUGAGACUAAAGGUCAGAAUGAAUUGGCAUUGCAAAAAUUUAAGGAUCACAAAACUCAAUGGAAAGUCACAGCAAGAGAAGCAACUGAAGAUGGAGCCAUAGAGCCAUCCACGUACGAGGAAGCUUCACAAUGUGCUGAAUGGAAGAAGACAAAAGCAGAUGCCGAAAAACAACUUGACAUGGUGUUACAUCCAAAAGAGAGAGCAGUCGGUGAGGGGGAGUGUUGAAGAUCACCACCUCUCUCUCUCUUGGAGUUCUCUAGAUCUUUCUCUAGAGUUCUCCAUAUCUCUCUUUGGAUUUCUCCAGAUUUCUCUCUCUCUCUAUUGCUCUAGAUUUUUCUCUCCCUCUCUCUCCAGAUUUUUCUCGGCCAUUUUGUUCAUGGACUCCACUGACUUUGGCUCCUAUAAAUAGGGGCUGUUGUCUCUUGAAGUGUAAGUGUGAGGGGUGUUAUGUGUGUAAGUGUGUACGUGAGUGUGUGGGUGGAAUUGGUGGCGUGAAGUGUAGAGAAAUAGAGAGUAAGUGGGUGUGUGCGAGAGUUGUGUCCGUGUGAGGUUUGUGAGGGAGUGGGUAAGCAAGUACAAUGAGUUGUUGUGAGAGGAUGAUAAAAUAGAGAGUUGUAAUAUUGUUCUAUAAUAAAAGUAAUUAUUUUACUUGUACAUCCACUUGCUUCUCAACAGGUGCCAUCUCCGAUCACCUCUCAUCUUUCUGCAGGGCAGCACAACUGCUCUGAUUCCCAGCCUCACCACACUAUCCAGUUGGCUACACUGUCGAAAAUAGUGCCACGACACCGGUAGGUGGCAUGAAAGUGAACAGGGGCGUGGAGCCUGGCAAAUACUUCUGGGAAUCAAUGUUGAGGAGUGGGAAUAUGAUCCGGAUUCUAAAUCUUCGUGUCAAAGCUCCCAAAAGGUUGUUUUUGCCUCGCAGCAUUUCCUCCGGAUUACCAUUCUCCAUCUCGAAGUUCGCCGAGCUGAAGCAAAUCUUCCAUGCUGGGGACGAUUCCAAUAUGGAGAAGAUCAUGGUGCGCACACUCAGCCAGUGCGAGCAAGCGCCAAUCCAAGGUGAGACCAAGCGAUGUGUAAGCUCUGUCGAGGGCAUGAUCGACUUCGCCACCUCAAUACUAGGCCACGACAUCCAGCUUCACUCCACGGAGAGCGUCGAAGGGUCGAAGCGUGAGAUCUUGAUUGGACGAGUGAAAAGGUUGGAAGGGAGUAAAUCGAGUGCGCCCGUGGCAUGCCACGAGACUAUAUUUCCUUACAUGGUCUAUUACUGCCAUACAUUUUUGACCCUUCGAGUUUACGAAGCGGAUAUACUGGAUCCCGUGUCCAAGGCCAAGAUCAACCAUGGCAUCGCCCUCUAUCACAUGGACACGUCGAUUUGGAGUCCAAAUCACGAGGCGUUCCUUGCGCUCAGGUCGAGCCCUGGUCAAAUCGAGACAUGCCACUGGGUCUUUGGGGAUUAUGGUGUUUGGACGAGGACCAAUUAGUAAUGGAAAAAAAUGAAGCGUGGAUCAAAUUGAAUAAUAUAGAUUGGACGUAGAGACCGAGAGAAAUCAUCCGCUAGCUCCAUCCUACGCCAUCGUUCACUUAAAAGUAUUGUCUAAUAUGGUAUUUGCUAUCUCAUAUCCACGACCUUAGUAGUGGUGUGUAUAUGUAAAUGUCGUUGUGGUUUGUAAAUGUCGAGUGUUUGAAUAACUUUGAUCUAAUAUAUGUAAUUAUUGUGGUGCGAAUGUGAAAAAGUUUAUUUGCUAAUAUUCAUCUCUUUCUAAAGCAUAACACAACACCAUGUCUCAAAUUCUUAAACUGUACCUUGCUAGGACAUGAUGGUGAGAUGAUUACAAGGACUAAUUCUUAAACUGUACCCGAAAUGUGUUAUUGCACCAUAAUGGACAUGAUGGUGAGAUGAUUACUAGGACUAAUUUAUCAGGUUUUCUGUUGAAGGAAAUAGCUCAAUAUGUAUUAAAUCAUAUUUCUAUCAAAUAUGUUACAUUAACUUGUUUUGAGUUGUGGACCAAACGUAAGCUUGAUUUGAAUCAUCUUAAGGUUUAGAGUGUCCUGCAAAAGUGAGUUUAUAUAAUCUAACAUUAAGUAAGUUAGAUUGCAGAACCACUCGGUGUUAUUUUGUAUCUUACCCAAGUCAUUUGAAAGGAUAUCGGUUUUAUGAUCCCAAUGGAGAUACAAAAAUUGUAGAAUCACAGACAACAGAGUUUCUGGAAUUCGACACAGCUGUAGAGAAUAGUUGCUCUUAGACUAUUAAAGAUAAUAGGACGGUAGGAACCACUAUGUCUUUGUCUUUACCUAUACAAAUAAUUAUUGAGUCUUUUACACCAUAAACUGCGCAUGUUGAGGUUCAGGAUACUAUUAUUAAUACAAUUCCUGAUAAAGUUUGUCAAGCCUCUCGCGUGCAAGAUGAAGUGGUUGUAGUAGCUCCACUUAGGAGAUCUACUAAGGAAAGACGUUCAGUUAUAUCACUAGACUAUAAAUUCUAUUUAUGAGAGCAUGAUUACAACAUCUACUACGUGGUCAAUCUAAUAACUUAUAUGAAUGUUGUUUCUUGUCCUUGGUCAAAUAUGUGGUUAGAUGUGAUAAAAGACGAGAUGCAAUCUAUGAAACAUGAUAGUGUUUGGAAGCCUGCCGAAUUGCUUGAUGGUUGCAAGCCCAUCCGCUGCAAAUGGGUGUACAAGACUAAAAGAGACUACAAAUGAAAUAUUAAGAAAUUUAAACUCAGACUAAUAAUAAAAGAUCUCACUCAAAGAGAAGCCUAGUCUUUUCUAAAGAUUCUUUCGAAGUGAGCAUGGGAUUAGUAGCCCACUUUUUAUAUGGAAUUAUGCUCUAUGAUGAUUAAAACUACGUUUUUCAAUGGAUAUUUUGAUAAAGAAAUCUAUAUAUUUUAACCCGAAUGUUUCAUAGCAGAUGAUUUAGGUAAGCUUGUGUGUAAACUGAAAAACCUUAUUAAUGGCCUAAGCAAGUUUGUAGACAAUAAUGCUUGAAACUUCAUAGUUUUGUCACUUCAUUCAGUUUUGUUGAAAAUAAAAUGGAUCGGUGAAUAUACUGCAAGGUCAAUAGGAGAAAAUUUAGUUUUCUCACACUCUAUAUAAAUGAUAUCUUGCUUACAAGUAGUGAUAUGGGAUUACUUCAUAAAACAAAAUAGAUAUUGUCAAGGAAUUUUGACUUGAAGGACCUUGAUCAGGUAUUUUUUGUCAUUAGCAUUGAGAUCUAUAGAAAUCGUUCUCAUCGUAUGUUAAAUUUAUCUCAGAUUGUAUAUCUUGAUUGUAGUUUGAAAAUAUUCAACAAGUCGAGAGUUGCUCCUGUCGUUCGGACUAAUAGAUUGAGUUUAUUGCAGUAUCCUCAUUCAAAUUUCAGAAAAACCUAAAUGAAUGAUAUACUUUAUGCUAGUGCACUUAGAAGUGUCAUGUAUGCUCAAGUUUGCACUAGGCUAGAUAUUGCUUUUGCGGCAAGACUUCUAGGUAGAUAUCAAUCAAGUCUAGGACAUGAUCAUUGGAUUGCUGCUGAUAAUGUCUUGAGAUACUUAAAAGGACAAGAAAACUAUAUGCUGACAAACAUGUUCAGGAUCUAGAGCUAGUAGAGUAUUCAAAUGCAGACUUUACUAACUGUUAGGAUGACAAGAAGUCGACAACAUAAUAUAUUUUUAUAUUAGCAGAAUGUGCUGUAUUAUGACAAAACGAUAAGCAAAAAUUCAUAUCUUCCUCUACUAUGCAAAUGGAGUUUGUAGCAUGUUCUACAGCUGUUACUUAAGAUAUUUGACUUCAGAACCUCAUUAAGAAGUUGACCAUAUUUGAUUUUGUGAAUAGACCCAUACAGUUAUAUCGAGAUAAUAACUUUCCAAUGUCAUUUAUCAACAACAAUAAAGGUCUCGAGAUAUGGCGGUCAAGUUUUUUACCACAAAGAAACGACACAUAAUAGUGACACUAUAGUAGAGCAUCUUUCCAUAGAUAAUGUAGUUGUCGACCCACUAACUAAAGAUUUUCUCCCUCGUGUACUUGAACAACAUAUCAUAAACAUGGACUGAGAAGUAUAAUUGAAUGCUACUGUUUAGUGGGAGCUGUUUUGAUUUUUGCUCUAAUAAAACUUAUAUAUUACCCAUUCAAUAAAGUGUUCAUAAAUGUGUUGUCACCAUAAUUAGUUGAUUACAUAUAAUAGAAAUUUGAAGGUAUCGUGUAAACCUUGAGUGAAAGGUUAGAGCAUUUGUUUAUUGGCGUUGAGUAUAUGUAUUGAUUACACAUAAAAAUGUGUUAACCAUAAAGAUAAGACAUAUGUGAGUUCAUUAGAACCAUAAAAAUAUUCUUUUAUGACACAUUCGGUUUUCUAUGACACUUAAGACAAGAGAAUAAUGACCGAUAAAGGGGAUGACACAUAAGGUAUUACUCUUUAUGAAGUGUUAUUCAUUUGUAACAUGAUCAUAUUGAAUCCAUAUAAGUAAACCCGUGACCAUGGAAGGCUCUGUAUAAGUACAUGCAAUUAUCGUUAUGAUUCGGUGUUUGAGACUUUAUAGGAUAGGAUUGACUAUUACGAAUAGUCACUAGACCAACAUAAAGGUGCACACAUUUCGUACAGCCUCAAUUAAUAUAACCCAAGUGGAAGAAUGUAAGAGUUUUCUUGAUGUGAAUUACAUUAAUUGAGAUUGUAAUUUAUAGUUUUAGGAGGUUGGUCUAAUAAGAUAAGACAUAAGAUUUUCUUAAUAGUUGAAUAUGGGCCUGGCUUAUGUGGGCCGAGUUAGGCCCGGCCUGUGAUGAGAGAACCUGGCUAAAAACUCUAUAAAUAGCGUUAAGGUCCCUUCUCUAACCCUCAUUGUUCUAUGAACAUUCUCUCACCUCACAUAAGGAAGCCAUGAAAGGCGGACUCAUCAUGCUAGGAUCCGAGGGCCAUAGAGGAGAAGAACCUGAGCGUUGAAUAGUUGUCAUUCCACAGAAAGAACGAUGAAUUCCAAAUCAAGUAUGCAAAUCCUCUUCUUCUCCUCAAAUAUGUUCAAGUUUCUAGCUAUGUUGAUCUCGGGAUGCCGCUUCGACAGCCAACAUUGUUGUCUUGAACUGAUAUGUAAAUUGCACUUUAGGGUUACAACAUUUUUAAACUAGGCAAAACUAUUGUAAUAUAUUCUAUUAUUUUAAAUGUGAUCCCAAUAUUGUAUUUCCAAUUAAUUCCGAUUUAUUGCCCAAUUUAUUAUCCGCGUUUAUUACGUGAUAUUUGCUCGUUAAUAUAUUACCAUAACAGUCUUCAUGGAAGACAUCGAUAAUGUAAGAAACGGAAUAAAAACGUCAAAUCGUCUAAUUCAAAUCCUAUCAUUACAGAAAACACACAAUCACGUUUGAGAGAUAUUAACUAGUGGAACAUGACGUACAAAUCUGGUGAUCACAUAUCUGUAGAUCAAUUGUGUUUCGUGGAUCCGUCCAGGUUUUAGGAUUUUCCGCAUUUGCAAAUUUUCAUCAAUGGCUGGAGGUAUGUCAAUCUUUACAUUUCUGCAAAUCGAUUCUGAAUUAUGCACGUAAUUGUUUGAGAAUGAUAGAUCGAGAUCAUCAGGUUUUAUUCAAAAUUAGUCUUACAAAAACAUCCUAGCUCGGUUGCGCAAUGCUAAUUUUUUAGUCACUCGCCGAUUUUCUCUUUCAUCCCACUAUAGGUUGUUUCCACCACGGCUGGAACCACUACCAAUGCCGACUCCUUAUUCAGCGAUGCCAACUCAAUCCCUCCCAAGGAAUACAUUGUCCAUUUACUGGAACGAACAAAUGACCAACAACCUCGCCAUACCACCACUGCUUAUAUCAAAGUUUCAUACUUAACUAUGCAUAAACGGCCCUUUUAGCCCGGCUCGUUGCUAAAGAUGCUAUCUCCGACCACCUUCCAUCUUUCUGCAAGGCAGCACAACUGCUUUGCUUCCCGGACUUAUCAUCCCAUCAAGUUGGCAAGGACGGUCGUGUUUUCUACAAUUUCAUUAAUGGUGCCACAACACUGGCCGGUGGCAUGAACGUGAACAAAGGCGUGGAGCCAGGGAGAUACUUUCGGGAGUCGACGCUGAGGAGUGGGAAUGUGAUCCAGAUGCCGGAUCUUCGUUCCAAAACUCCCGAAAGGUCGUUUUUACCACGCAGUAUUUCCUCUGGAUUACCGUCCUUGACCUCGAAGAUCGCCGAGCUGAAGCAAAUCUUCCAUGCUAGGGACGAUUCGACUAUGGAGAAGAUCAUGGUACGCACACUUGGCCUGUGCGAGAAAGCACCGACACAAGGUGAGACCAAGCGAUGUGUUAGUUCUGUUGAGGACAUAACAGACUUUGCCACCUUGAUAUUAAGCCACAACAUCAAGCUUCAUGCCAUGAAGAGCGACGAAGGGUCGAAGCGUGAUAUCUUGAUUGGACGAGUAAAAAGGAUAGGCGGGAGUCAAUUGAGUGCGCCUGUGGCAUGUCACGAUAGUCUAUUUCCUUGCAUGGUUUAUAAUUGUCAUGCGGUUCCAACACCCCAGUUUCACAAGGUGGGUAUACUGGAUCCCGUGUGCAAGUCCAAGAUCAACAAUGGCGUCGCAGUCUAUCAUAUGGACACGUCGAUUGGGAAUCCAAAUCACGAGGCAUUUCUUGCGCUCGGGUCGGGCCCUGGUCGAAUCGAGGCCUGCCACUGGAUCUAUGGGGAUUAUGCGGUCUGGACUAGGGCUAAUUAGUAAUGGAAAAAAAUGAAGUGUGGAUCAAAUUGAAUAAUAUAGGUUGGACCUAGAGGCCAAGAAAAAUUGGCCGAUAGCUCCAUCGCAAGUCAUCAUUUGCUUGAAAGUAUUAUCUAAUAUGGUAUCUACUAUCUAAUAUACACGACUAUGAUCGUGUGAGUGUGCGUGUGUGUUAUUAUGGUUAGUAAAUGUCAAGUGUUUGUGUGACUUUGAUCUAGCAUUUGUAAUUAUUGUGGUGUGCAUGUGAAAAAGUUUGUCAUGUGAAGUACUUACUAUUACCCAUCUCCUUCCAAAACAUAACAUGACUCCAUGUCCCAAACUGUAAUAUACCAUCGUUAGAUUUUUCUUCUUUUUUAAAUUUAAUUUUCCAUCUUAUAUCUCUACCAUCAAUGCCUUGACAUCAAAUCAAAUGGAAUUAGAAGAGAUUAAUGGGCAAAGAGAGAGUAUAUUCACUUGUGAACGAACUGUUUAUAAUAAGGGAGAAGGAUCCCUAUUUAUACAAAUGCGGGUCACAUCUCAACUGUUGAUCGUCCCUCUGAUCCAAUGGUGUAUUUCAAAUCCGUAUCAUCAUUACAAGGCUACACGGUAGGCUACUCGAAGGCUGCUCGAUGGCUACACACAGUAGGCCCUUGGGAAGACCAUGGGCGUGUGUUAGAAGCAAGAUUAGGUUUGCAGGGUCAUCUGACACGCAAGCAGCCGAACGGUCACGGGCUGUACAUGGGCUAAUCAAAUCUUGCUCAUGGGUCGUUCCUAGGCUACGCAUGGGCCUUUGCUCAUGCCACUCAUGGAUUGAUCAUGGGUAGGUCGUGGGCGGCUCUUGGGCAGCCCUUUGUGCGUGACACGGCCUAUCACGAACGGUCUUGGAUCAUGCUCCGUCUGUGGGCUGUGUCACUUGUCCCAUAAUGCUUAAUCCUUGAAAUUGGGAGCCAUAUAAUUCAUAAGCACCCCAGAUUUAUCAUUAUUGCUCUAAAAUAGGGAUAAAAAUGGUAGGAAUCUCAAAACUUUCGUAAAACUUUCGUACAACGCUCACUUGAGUGCCAAAACUUUUUUUUUUUUUCGCUCAAUUGAGCGUCACAAAUUUGAAAAUUCGAUCACUUGAGUGCCCAUUUCGAUUUAUCUCACCGGAAAAUCCGACAUGGAUGUCAGUCAUCCGUCAUGACUUCAUCAACACUGAUGUUGACAGUUUUUUUAUUUUUUAAAAAAAAUAUUUUUAAAUAUAUAUAUUUUUUUUUUGCUUUUUUUUCUUUAAGAUCAGUGAGGGUCUCCAGCAACCCUCAUCAACCGUGACAUCCUCGCCCUCAGCCACGAGGCCCUAGGCAAGGCCAUCGGGGCGUCCUCAAACAUUGGUGAGGGCAAUGCCGCACAGAGCUAGCAAGGGCCCUUGCCUUCUCACUUGCCACCAGCAAGGUCGCGAUGCCCUUGCGUAAGGCCUUUGCGGCCAAAUCUAGGUGAAGGCCGCCUCCCAUUGCCAUAAGGCCUUGGGUGAGGGCAUUGCAGCCUCACUGAUUGUUGGCGACACCGGUCAAAGUAGGUGAGGGCAUCAUGACCUCGCCAGCUACAGGCAAGGCCGCAAGGGCCCUCGCUUGCUCUGGAUGGCAUCGCCCACAACCACCCAGACUUGGUGAGGGCCCUCGUGGCCCUACCAGCAGCUAACUAGAUGACCCUCGCCCAAAUUGGGGGAGGUUUUCAUGGCCAGCGAAGGUCGUUGGUGACCACUGACCCUAAAAAAAAAAAAAAGAAGCAAAAUAAAAAUAAAAUUCAAAAAUUCAAAAAUUUCACGUAGGACGAUUUGCCGAAAUUGGCACUCAAGUGAUCGAUUUUACUCCGAUAUAGCACUCAAGUAAGCAAAUUUUUUUUUUUUUUUAUACUCAAAUGAGCGCCGUACGAAAAUUUUGGCACUUCUAGUUUUCUUGUCGAUCUUAAUUUGACAAUUGGAGCACUUCCCACCAAAAAUGAGGAUGUUGAUGUAAAAUUAACACCCCAAAUAUUUAGAAGUAUUGAACACAAACCUCAAUCGUUCCUUUUCUGAUAUUUUCUAGCUAGCAAUAGGAUAAGUUCAAUUAAACAAUGCUAGGACAGGUGGCGUGCAUUCACAUUUCAAAUGAAUGCACAUGUGAACUUAAUCUAGAGAUAUUUUCUCUCCAUUAGCUUCGCCCACAUCUACACCAGUUGCACUAGCACUGGCCUCCACAACACCGCCAUCGAUCCAAGCAUCUCUCUCUCUCUCUCUCUCUGCACAAGCUUUGUCCCGUAAUCAAACCAAGAGUAGUAUUUUCUAAGGAUAAGUGUACUAAAAUUUCUAAAAUUUGUCGAGAAAUGCAAUUGAAUCAUAAAAUUUUCAAAAAGUGCAAUAAGUUCUUAGAAUUUGUCAAAGUUGUGUAAUCAAGUCUCUUUGUCAAUUCUAUGUAAUUUGACUAACAUAAAUCCCGACAUGAUUAUUUUAACUACUUUUGUUAUGACCAAAGCAAAAGCUACGACGAUAUUAAAUUUGAGAAAAUUAAAAAAAAAAAAACAGAAAUUUACUUGGAAACUAUGGAAAAAAAAAAACUACAGGGAGAAAAGAAGCAAAAUCUACUAUGGAAAUUCAAGCAUUAGCAAAGGUGGCUUGAAAAACCUUAAGACUCUUUUUUCACAUUUUUUAAACCUAAUAACUUAGGAAAAAAUAAUAUUUAUAUUGCUCCAUACGGCGGGACGCAGUCCCCACACCUCUGCAAAGGAUUAGUAGUGGGCUAGUGGUUUGGGCCUCGACCAACACUAAGCCUCCAUUUGUUUUUCUCAAGUUAGUGGUCACAAAUUUUAAUUUGAGUAUCAAAACUCAAUUUAAUUCCUUUUAACAAAAUUCAAGACAUGCUCAACAAUUUCUUGAGACACGUGGCAUCCCCUAAGCACCACAUUAAAUAAUGAAAUUUUUGGGAAAAAAAUUAAAGAAAGAAAGAGAGAGCAAAAGUAAAAUAAGAAAAAAAUUAUAAUGCCGAACAAAAUGUUAAUAAUGAGGGAAGAGAGAGAGAGCAAGCAAGAUCUCCACUUCUGGUUUCCCAAAGGAACAGUGGUUUCGAUUAUAGCGAGCGAAAGUUGAGAUUAAAGGGAAUGAAUAUAUUUUGAGGGGGACUUUCAAUUUUCGCAGAUCGCCGAGGGAGACUUCUUGGAUCGAUUUUAAAUAUGAAAGGCUCCACUAUUCUGCCAUGGCUGUGGUAGGAUUGGCCAUGGCCGCCAUAGCUGUACCUUCAUCAUAGAUGCUGCGUCGACGGGGAGGUGCUCUUGAAUUUGCGGGCUGCGUCCAACCUUUUCUACAUCGACCCAUCGGUCGGUUCCAAUUCACAAUUUUGAUAAGGAACACUAAAAAUUUGAAAAAAACUUCCUACGAUCGCUAUCAUAGCGAGAAAAAAAAAAGGGGGUUUCAAGAGGAAGAUGUAGAUGUCUCCGCUAGGGCAACGACAUCAAUCCGUUUUUUGUCGGUCUGCAUCUGCCUUCUCCACAUCCUUCAAAAUGAAGGAGCAGCUUUGCAAUAGUUCCCAAUAAAAACCCCAUAUGGGAGGAAAAAGGAGAAGGGGAGUCAUCUUCACGCAAGUGGACGGUCUUGCGCCGGGGCCUACCGCCCCCCUCCCGAGAAAAUAUUGGGUGGGUCUUACUCUCCACGUAGGCUUAGGUAAGACCAUUCAGCGAUCGACACGUGGCUCCACGUAGGCGACGGCAUCAGAGGUUUAAAAUUUGCGAGCGCCGCUCCUGGGGCCCACCACUCUGACGCUCUCUCUCCUCUGCUCUCCUGUACGAUCUGUCCACUCGUCCUCUCUCUCCUCUCUCUCUCUCUCUCUCUCUCUCUCCGUUCUCCCCGUUCUCCGUUCCGUUUUGCGAGAGAACAAAAGUCGCAGGGCUUCUCUCCGAAUGCUCUUCCCCUCCUCUACUCUCUCUCCUCCGCUGGUUGCCUGGGACGCAGACGCCCUUUCCACCUUCGCCGACGCCUCUGCUCUCCUCCGCUGGUUGCCCGCAACGCCGACGCCGAUGCCUCUGCUCUCUCUCCUCCGCUGGUUGCCUGCGACGCCGAUGCCGACGCCCUUUCCACCUCCGCUGACGCCUCUGCUCUCCUCCGCUGGUUGCCCACGACGCCAACGCCGACGCCCUUUCCACCUCCGCUGACGCCUCUGCUCUCUCUCCUCUGCUGGUUGCCCGCGACGCCGACACCGACGCCUCUGCUCUCUCUCCUUCGCUGGUUGCCCGCGACGCCGACGCCGACGCCGACGCCCUUUCCCCCUCCGCCGACGCCUCUGCUCUCUCUCCUCCACUUGUUGCCCGCGACGCCGACGUUGACGCCCUUUCCACCUUCGCCGACGCCGACGCUCUCCUCCGCUGGUUGCCUGCGACGCCGACGCCUUUGCUCUCUCUCCUCCGCUGGUUGCCUGCGACGUCGACGCUGACGCCCUUUCCACCUCCGCUGACGCCUCUGCUCUCCUCCACUGGUUGCCCACGACGCCAACGCCGACGCCCUUUCCACCUCCGCCGACGCCUCUGCUCUCUCUCCUUUGCUGGUUGCCCGCGACGCCGACGCCUUUACUCUUAAACUGUCAGUUCCUCAUGCUAUAGUGUGAAUGUUAUGUUUCUGUUAUGCUUCUGUGUUGAUAUUUUUUGUUUAUGAACAUAUGCACAACAAAAUUGCUAUGGAUUCCGACACCUUGAAAUGCGAGGAGGAGGAUCUAAUUCUUAAAGACAGCGAGUGUUUGGAGGCAAGACGUUAUCUAUUGAGACUUGUUAUCCUUAUAAUGUGGUGAAUUUAGUCUCAUCCAACCAUUUAAUGUAUGGAGUUCUUCCAAAUUUUUGGGGGCUUUAGCUCAUUUGCUUCAAUCUGUAGUCAGGCUUUAACUUUCUGCUAUGAUUGUGGCAGUUAUUAGAGUAAAGCAGGAAUUUCUUGUAUAUCUUAUUGUAAGGUCUUUCCAGCAGUUACAGAAGGGCAUUUCAAUGAGAGAAACUAGGAGCUUGGAUACAGUCUCGAGCAUUAUUUUUGCCUGUUGGUUUUAAUUCCUGUUGACGAUAGGCUGAAGUUCUUUUUAACUCAUCUUCUUCGUGCCAAGUGCUGCCUAAAGUAAAGAUUGAUGCUUAAUUAACUUUUUUCUUUAUAUUCAGGAACGCGUUAAGGAACGUUCUGUACAUCCCAGUGACACCCCACAUGGAACAUCCAGUGCACCUUCUGUGGAGGUAAAUCUAGCUGUAGCGCUGAUUAUCCUUCUUGGAUUCUUAUGAGUUUCUCUGUGAAGCCAUUAAGUGCUAAAUUUUUUAUGUUAAAUUCUGCCCAGGCUGCUAGAAAUAGGAGUGCUGCAGGAAUAGGAAGCACAGUUUCUUUUAGCGAUGAUGAGGACACAGCAGAGAUACUUGGCUCAAACUCUGCCACCAGAGGCCGGAAAGGAUCAUUGGGAGUUUGUAGAUCCUCCCGUGCUACUUCAGAUCUAGGAAGAGGGAAAACUUCUACAAGAGGAAGGGGCAGGGGAAGAGGAUCUGCUAAUUUGAAGCAAACUACUCUUGAUUCAGCUUUGGUAUCUUGCCGUCGUGAAAGGUUAGUAGCGGAUGUAGUCAUGAACUCAAGCUGGUUAAUGGCUGACAAACUGGUUUGAUUAAACUACGUCUCAAAAUUGUUCUAAAGUAAUCCUACUUUAUUUGUAGGAAGAAACAGAAAGCUGCAAGGUCUUGCUGAGGCCAUGGUAAAAUUGUGGGGGAGCAGUGCUAUUGCAAAAAUAGCAAUUAAAUGCCGCGUGCUAAAUACUUACAAUGAUAGAAUAGCUGAGGAACUGAAGGUUGGACAAUCUACAUAUGUUGACUCUUUUUUUAGCAUAUAUGUAUGAGCUAAUUAUAUUGUUGAAAAUGGGUGUUCUGUUGCUUUCAUCGAGCACAGAACCUUUCAGACUCUGUACUUUAUUUGAUUUGCCUGACAGAAAGAAUUACCAACUAUUUGCCAUAGAGUGGUAGUGUGACUAAAUCAUCAUCCUUCAAGCCCACAGUACAAUGCUGAAUUUUCUAUUUCAUCUCUGACCGUGGAAUUUAUAAUGUUUAUCAUAAUGGUAAAACUCAGCCAAGAUUAGUGUGUCACCAUUCUGGGACAUACUUGUGUAGUGUUGUGAAGGAUUGGUUAUGCAAGUUCUUAUCUCUCCGAGCAUUUUGUUCCAAUCUUAAUGUUCUGGCAUUAUGAUAAUAUCAACUUCUGUUUAGUGUUGCAUAUUCCGUCCUUUUUCUUUAGGUAAGGAAAAUUUGGUGCUCUUGUUAUUGAUUUGUGUCAUUUUGAAUGCAGAAUUUAACUGGGGGAACACUACUUUUUAGGAACAAAGAUUAUAUUGUGUUUUAUUGGGGCAAUGACUUCUUGCCUCCUGUGGUGGUAGAAGCACUGAAAGAGAGAAAAACUAACAGAUGUGCAGGCAAAUGAGAACGACCAAGCACGUCAGAGGGCCUCAGCUGCAAUUGAAUCAAAAUUCAAAGCUUCUAAAAGCCCACUUGUUGCUGGCACUCUUACUGAAACUCUGGCUGCCACCUCUCGGUGGGGGAAUGAAAUAAGUAGCAAAGAUGUUGAGCAUAUGCGUUGAGAUGAAUCACUCAAUAAGCACGCUGCACUCUUGAAAUAUCUUGAGAAGAAACUUGCUCUUGUAAUCUUCUUGAUUGAACAAACUUAUGCUAUAAAAUUCUGCUCCAUUUCCUUAAUUAUUUAUCACAUUUUCCAUUUAUAUUUUCCUCUUCUUUCCAGGCUAAAGGGAAGGUCAAAAAGGCUGAGAAAGCUCUAGCAAAAGUGCAGGAGAAUCUUAGAUCAGCAGACCUUCCAGUUGAUCUGGAAACCAUAAGUGAUGAGGAGAGAUCUUUACUACGUAAGAUUGGUCUGAGUAUGAAAACCUUCCUGCUUAUCGGUAAGAAUAGCUGGAAGUCAUGAGUUUAUGAGGUCUUGGUUCUUGUCAUUGAGCCCUUUCGGGGCAGAUGAAUUGAGGGUUGGUUUUUUAUUGAUACGGAUUUAUGAUGACUUAAGCGUUAAGCUGCAAAGUUGCCCUUUUCAUCACCUGGCAAAUGGUUGAGAAACUGAGAUGUUUUGAUGCUUGAAUUUGGAUGAUUUCUGUCCAAAUUCAGCAAUUAUAUCUUUGCCAUCAAAGAACUAUACUCGUGUCUCGUCCGUGCCCAAUGGGAAAUCUGAAUACUAAGAAGCAUGCGGUAGAUCUAAUGAUUUUCAUAGGUGUUCAAGAGCGUAUGAGAAUUACUAAAUCAAAUUUUUAUUCUUUCUGUGGGUAGGUCAAACUCUUUCGGGUGCACGGCAUUCAUGUUUUUGCAGGGCUUGUGAUUGUUAUAUCCUUCAAAUGCCAACUGUCUCAUCCUUUUUUCCUAUUCCUAUUAGUUUAUUGUUCUUUGAAAUUCUCUUGAAUAUGCAAAAUUUACGUCGGAAUCUGAUGUUGUUGAUGUACACAGGUUAUGCUUUUGAAUUGGCUUUCUGUUUUGGCUUAUUCUUUGGCUUUUGUAUUUUAUAUCAUCCCAAGGGUGUAAUAGAAUAAAACAAUAAGUGGACUGGAAAAUUUUCUUGUCCUUUUUAUCAUCUACUGGUGUUGUAACUCAUUAUUUUUGUUACAAUUGAAGUUUUAAAAUGUAAGACUGCCAGCUACUUGUUUAUGAACUUGAUGCAUGAGGUCCCUUCCCUUUGUAGAAGCAAGAUCUUCCAACAUCUGGACCUUGAUAAAAGAUCAAGCAAAUUUUUGUUUUGGCUUGAUGCUAGGAACUUUGGCUCUGCUGCUGUUAAUAUAAGAUCAGCAUAUGCCCGUAAUAUAUGGGCUACUACUAAAUGGUCAACGUGAUUUCCAUGUCUUUUUUAUUGUUUAUGUCAUUUUUCAUUCAACUACUUUUUCUUGAAGAUUAUAUGGUGGGAAUUUAGUAAUUAUUGGGAGAUUUAGGGCCUUAAACCGAAGAAUUUGAUCUUGGCUGCACAUGUUAUGUUUUUUCCCCUUAGGAAAGCAACAUACGUUUUCUUGUUAUUCUUUCUUAGACAACAAGGUUAAAUGUGGAUCAUAGUAUUGACUAUUUGUAAAGUUACUCGAUAACUGUUGAAGUAAUGCCUCGUUAUUCUUAAUAAUCGAAGGACAGUUAGAAGAAGAUGAAUGUUCUUGAUGAUUUUGCUUCUGAAUCAAUUUGAUUCAUAAACUGAGUGAUUUGAUUCUUGAUCGUCUUGUCUUACGCAGAAUGAUGACAACCAAAGAGAGACUUCUGCAACAAUGCUCAAAGCAGGACAGGGUGCUCGUUUUGCGAGGAUGCUAUAACUAGAAUCUCUCUUCUGUACGAUGCACCUCAUCGGAAUGCCUGGCUAUAUGUGCUUCUGGUUUUUACUGAAGAUGGCUUGAUUACACAUAAAAUCCAUCGUUUGGAGGUAGAUAAUCCACAUGGAAUACAUUACACCUAUUUCGGAAUCUCGUGUUCUUGUACUACACUUCCGUUUUUUCAAUCGGAAGGCAAUAACAUUGAGCUAUGUAUGAGCUUAUGCUGAACUAGAAAGCCCAUGAAGAUAUGGGUUUCAAUUUACAUUACAUGUAUGCACGAGUGACUCUCAGGAGUUUCUUCCGGAGAUCAGAUGUAAUACAUACUUAUAUUUUGCUCGCUUGGUAGUCCUGAAUAUACAGAAUCAGUAGAGAUUGCCAAUCACAUUUCUAUUGAGGCAAUCCAAACAUGGUUAAAGCCAACAGACAGAACUAUGUAAACUUUCUUUCAUUCUUUGCGCAAACUUUGGUGCAGAAUAGUACAACCGUGACUUCCUAUUAUUGAGAAGGGGGACCCUUUCGUGGGUAAUGCCAUGCACAUGCAAGAAACGAGUAGGUAGAUAAUUGAUCAAGAAGCUGUCGCCUCAAAAGAGUGCUAUGUAUUUCUUCCACCAUGUUUGAGUCCAUUCCGCACUCACUGUUCGAAUAGGCUCAUGCCGACUCUGCAUGCACCGACUUUGAGAGUUUCUUAAAUUUCCAAGUCCAAUUCACGCAACAAUGACGCCUUAAGGAGUUGUUACCCUGAAAUUCUAUCGCAGACAAGAUAACAAGAUCUGCCAAACAAAAUCAUUUACACACUGCUGGUAGCACAAAAUAUCGAACUCCUUUCAGAUGAUAAGCCUUAUGGAUACAAUAAUAGAAGUAACAAUUUAGAAGCACUAUAUCCAUUAACAUAUCACACACCCCUCAUCUUUCUAUGGCACUAGUACAAAAUGGAGUUCACUUCGAUGUCGCAGAAGCUUAGUCCACUUCCUCCAUUUUGCUCUCCUCAGCACCAUCCUAUUCCAAGGCAGGCAUGUCAACAUCAUCACCAGCAGUCUCAUCCUCGUCAAUGCUCAGACCCAGCUUCAGCAUCCUGUGAAUCCUCGCUGCGAAAGUGUUGGGGUCAUCAAGACUGAACCCGAAUGUUAAAAGAGCAGUCUCAAACAGCAACAUCACCAAGUCCUUCAUGGACUUGUCGUUCUUAUCAGCCUCAGCUCCUCCAUGAUGCCAUUAUCAGGGUUGAUCUCCAUUGUCUUCUUGCUUGACAUGUAAGAGCUCAUGCUGUUGUCCCUCAGAGCCUGAGCCUUCAUAAUCCUGUCCAUAUUUGCAGACCAUCCAUAUUCUCUCGUCACCAAACAGCAGGGAGAGUCCACAAUUCUGUCCGAUACCACGACUUUUUCUAUUUUGUCUCCCAAAAUGUCCUUCAUUGUCUUGCACAAGUUCUCAAAGGACUUCUUUUUCUCCUCCUUCUUCUUCUUCUCUUCCUUCCUUUCAUCAUCAAGUUUCAGGCCCUCUUUGGUUGCAGAGACCAACUUCUUUCCAUCAUACUCCUUCAAUUGUCCUACAGCAUACUCGUCAAUUGCGUCCACCAUGAAAAGCACCUCAUAGCCUUUUUCUUGAGCCGCUCCAAGAACGGAGAGUUCUCUACAGCCUUCUUGCUUUCACCAGUGAUAUAGUAGAUAUCCUUCUGACCCUCCUUCAUCCUCGUGACAUAAUCCUCCAGACUUGUCAUCUCGUCCCCACUCUUUGUCGAGUGGUACCGGAGGAGGUCUGCAACUUUAGCUCUAUUCUGGCUGUCUUCAUGGAUACCCAAUUUCAAGUUCUUCAAGAAGGCCUCAUAGAAUUUGUUGUAGUCCUCCUUGUUCUCUGCAAUCUCAUUGAACAUCUCAAUGCACUUCUUGACAAGAUUUUUCCUGAUGACCUUCAGAAUCUUGUUCUGUUGCAGCAUCUCACGAGAAAUGUUGAGGGGCAAGUCAUCAGAAUCAACAACUCCUUUCACGAAUCUUAGAUACUCUGGAAUGAGCUCCUCGCAGUUGUCCAUAAUGAAAACCCUCCUAACAUAGAGCUUGAUGUUGUUCAUCUUCUUGCGAGUAUCGAAGAGGUCGAAUGGAGCACGUUUUGGGACGAACAAAAUAGCCUUGAAUUCAAGCUGCCCAUCAACAGAGAAGUGCUUCACGGCAAGAUGGUCUUUCCAAUCAUUGGUCAAGCUCUUGUAGAAGGAAGCAUACUCCUCCUUGGUGAUCUCCUCUGGCUUUCACAGCCAGAUGGGUUUCAGUUUGUUGAUGAGCUGCCACUCCUGAGAAACCUCCUUAAUCUUCUUCUUCUUGGACUUCUUUUCUUCCUUCUCCUCAUUGACGUCCUCAACAUCUCCUUCCUCUUCCUUCUUGGGCUCAUCGUCCUCAUCAUCACCGAUCUCUUUCUCGGUUGUCUUCUCAGUCCAUCGAUAGAUGGGGUAGUUAAUGAACUCGGAGUGCUUCUCCACAAGGUCCUUAAUCCUUCUUUCUUCCAGAUACUCCAGCUGAGGAAAACAGAGACGUGACGCUGUUAGCAUCAUGUAUCAUCCAAAACCAAUGCAAAUCUUCUCCACCAAUUCAUAAAAGCAACCAUAAUUGAACUCACCUGGUCCUCCUAAAGGAAGAGGGUGAUCUUGGUCCCUCUGCCGAGUUGCUCCCCACUCACAUCUCUCGUAACGGUGAAGGAACGACCGGCCUAGGACUCCCAGAUGUACUGCUCAUCAUCAUUGUGCUUAGUAGUCACAAUGACUUUCUCAGCCACCAAAUAAGCAGAGUAGAAACCGACAUCAAAUUGACCGAUCAUGCUCACAUCAGCUCCCGCCUGCAAUGCCUCCAUGAAUUCUUUCAUCCCUGACCUCCCAAUCGUACCCAGGUUGUUAGAACUGCAUAAACUCCCGGAAUUUCCGUGGCAAUGAAAGUGCCGUUUACAAAAUUUUUAGUUUUUCCCUUGUAUACACAAGUUUACAUGUAUGCCAAAAUACUCUAUAAGGUGGUAGGAUAAAGUAAAGGAAGUACCUUGACAAUAAGUAGACACCCCAUUGGACCAGUUACAGCUCGGAUGCCCUGAAAUAUAUACAAUAGAGCAAAAUGAAUCUCAUAGACAAGGAGACAAAACAUAAAGCCUAACUGAAACUGAGCUGUUGGAGAUGGGAAUUUAUUCUCACCUUCCUUAACUAACCAACACAAAACUAAUCAAACAUGAGAUACCAUUGUUACCUUAGCAGAGAGACAAGACACUGAAGCGAUCCGGGAUCAACAAAGGCAUGUAUUUGCAGCAACUGCCUGAGAGCAGGCCAAUAAAUUGCAUUGGCUGCAAGAGAUUAAGAAAGUUACAUAGAAGCAUGAUGAACAAACAUGUAAUCUUACAGCAGCAACACAGAUAAGUGAAUCCCAUUUGCUCCAUCUUUCCACAUGAGCAGAAACCCAUUUUAUCAUGAGGCAACAGAGCUGGGGUAAUAAAAUGGAAACUUAACAUCUUACUAUAGAGGCAAACCUGUCCUGAAAACAAAGAGCUAGUGGUGUGUUUACUAAACACUUAAGCAUCAUCACUCAUAAUCCCGAUGCAGUACAACACACUGAAUACAAGAAAGCAUCUCUUUCAACUCACAUUACUUGAGUACCUUCAAUCGAUAAUUAGAAUGGGACUAAGAGAGUUAAGGGGGAACAAAAAGGCAGGACCGACUUCUUUUGCUGUUUGACUCUAAUUUAUAAGUCAAAACUUAAAUACUUUUGAAGUCAUUUUUGAUUCAUCAUUGUUAAUUGCAAUUAAUAUAACAUUUUGGGUAUGGACAAGCCUUCAAGCAAACCGAGACACGCACAACUUAUGAACAGAAGCAAUAGUUAAUGCCCUAUCCAUUUCAUUAGUAAUGUGUCAAAAAGUAUGGGAAUAGUUGCAUACCGUAGAGGGAAAAUUAGAGACACCGCUAAUCUCCACUGCAUAAACAAGCCACUGUCUUUUAAUGCUUCCUUCAGCACAUUGUAAAGUUGCUACAACUUCAACAAGCACAUUCCAUGUGUCUGCAAGUCAAAUGUUAAAAAAAAAACCCAUCAAACAAAUCUAGUAACUUCUAUUUUGAUCACCACUGCAUUCACAAGGUUAUAGGUCAUCUUGAACCAUAUGUUGGACAUGUCUUCAUUUCGUUCUAUUCAAGAAUUUAGAGUCUCAACAACAGAAAGUACACCAACAAGGGAAAAUCAAACACUUCAGAAAGCAAAAUAUAAGUUGAUUUUGUGAGUCCAUGAUAACCACUUCUGACUAAAGUUUUACAGUGAGUCCUUCAUCAGAUAUAGAGUGACAUAAACUUUCAACAUGAAGAAUUCUGAAACAAGAACAAUAAAUGGAGCUCAUCACCUCUGUAUUUGGCCUAUUCAUCUUUGAUGAAUUCACAUUCGUUAACCAUGAGCAGAGUUUAAUGACUAUACUGUCAUUGGAGAAACUUUGAGAAGCAACUUCUGAGACAGUGGUAUCAGUCUGAAUAUGAUCAUCCGAAUUUACUUCCUUGGACCACAGACUAUGUCGAAGAAAAGAAAGUGCCCACCAGAGUAUUGUUGCAGCUGAUUAUCUUCAGAAUGUUGAGCAACAAGAAACAUCUCUUGUAUUGAUGAUGUUAACAAAGGCUUGCAGACAGGACUUGAAAGAAGCGCACGCAUUAUAUGAGAAGAUUCCUGCCAAGAGAACAUUUCACUGUAAGAAACAAGGACCACGAAAAAUGAUUAGAAGGCUUAGUUGAGGGAAAAUCCUCAAUCACCUUCAGCCUGUAACGACCGUAAUUGGAGGAUAAAAGAUGAAUUAGAACCAACCCAGCUUCUGCACCCAAAGAAUUAACAAUUCCAAGCAUCCCUCCCAGAUAAGUGGAGGGAGGCUGAGGAUUGGAAUAAUAUCUCCUCAACAAUUCCAGUAGCUCUUUCAGACAUCCAACUUCAAUGGAAUCUAUGCCUUCCUUCACAACACAGGCAAGGAGACUCCCUGCUCCAGCACAUGAUUCCAUCAAAAAGCUCUGGUGGAAUGCACCUGACUUUUUAAUAGACAAUAAUUCAGAUAUAAGUUCUCUAUAACUAUUCAUCAGUUGGUUUAGUUCACCAACAUCCAUCAAUUCUACUCUCUGGCAGAAAGCCACAACCAUGGGAAGUGCAAGACAAGAUCCAACAGAUAGAAGCAUCUCAGAUCCUUCGUUGCAGGAGUUAGAGCUCCAAACAAAUGGCUCCGUGUGUGGAAUCCAUGAAGUUAUCAAGUCCUUUAUCUUCAGUGUCACAUCAAUUUCCCCACUUCGGUAAACUGCACUAAUAGAGCUGCCCAAAUUAAGAACAAGUCCAGCAAGACCCCAAGUGUCUUCCUCCACAAGAUCACUGUCCUCAUUCAAGAAAUGAGGAUUCUGAUAUCUACCAUUCUCACACAUGUCAUUGGGAAAAUGUUCACACAGACUUUGAAGAAUCUGGGAUGUUGAUUUUGUAAGUUCCAAGAUCGUGAUAGAUAAUGACCUGAUAAUAUUCCCUACUAAUUCAACUUCAACCAUCUUGUAGGAAUCUCUGUCAGCAUUAUCAGCAGCUUCAGUCCUAGUUAGAAGAUCCUGGCAUGAAAAACCCAAGCCAACUCCACAGGCUCCUUUCACAAAGGUGCUUUUGCUACUAGACAAAACCUAUUAGGCACACAUGAUCAGUAAAUAAACACAAUUAUCAGUGAGAAAACCAGCACUUGUUCCGUUAUUAUUCUUUAAUUGGGAACAUUAAGAAAACAGAAUUAUCAUGGGCAACAUGGUGACAAACCUCAAAUCUACAGAAAAAACCCACCAUGCAAAGAGGAAACUCAAGUGCAAACCAAAGAAACUAAACCAGCUAUCAUAGCAGGUACAUGUUCCCACUCUAGGAUUUGACCAUUUGAACCAUUAGCAUUUGUUAAACAUCAUACCUUACGGUAUGAGACUAACCUUCGUGCCGAAAGGACUGACAGGAUAGUAACAGCAAUCUUCGGCAGGUCGUCAAUGUCCCUCGCGGAGGCGGAGGUGGAGGCGGAGGCGUCGGAGUCGGGGGCGACGGAGGCAACCGGCUUCAGGGGCGUGGGAGUCGAGGGCGAUGGAGGCAAACGGCGGAGGGGCGUCGGCGUCAGAGUCGGGUUCAAGGGCGGAGGCGGAGGCUGCGUCGGCGUCGGUGUCGGCGUCGGAGUCGGAGUCGGGGCGACGGAGGCAACCGACGGAGGGGCGUCGGCGUCCGAGUUGGGUUCAGGGGCAUAGGGGGAGGCUGUGUCGGCGUUGGUGUUGGCGUUGGCGUCGGAGUCGGGGGCGACGGUGGCAACCGGUGGAGGGCUGUCGGCGUCGCGGUUCACUGGAAAGGGCGUCGGCGGAGGUGGAAAGGGCAUUGGUGUCGGCGACGCGGGCAACAAGCGGAGGAGAGAGAGCAGAGGCGUCGGCAGAGGGGGAAAGGGCGUCGGCGUCGGCGUCACGGGCAACCAGCGAAGGAGAGAGAGCAGAGGCGUCGGUGUCGGCGUCACGGGCAACCAGCAGAGGAGAGAGAGCAGAGGCGUCGGCGGAGGUGGAAAGGGCGUCGGCGUUGGCGUCGUGGGCAACCAGCGGAGGAGAGCAGAGGCGUCAGCGGAGGUGGAAAGGGCGUCGGCAUCGGCGUCGCAGGCAACCAGCGGAGGAGAGAGAGCAGAGGCGUCGGCGUCGGCGUCGCGGGCAACCAGUGGAGGAGAGCAGAGGCAUCGGCGGAGGUGGAAAGGGCGUCGGCGUCGCAGGCAACCAGCGGAGGAGGUGUCGCGGGCAACCAGCGGAGGAGAGAGAGUAGAGGAGGGGAAGAGCAUUCGGAGAGAAGCCCUGCGACUUUUGUUCUCUCGCAAAAGGGAACGGAGAACGGGGAAAGAGAGAGAGAGAGAGGACGAGUGGACAGAUCGCAGAGGAGAGCAGAGGAGAGAGAGUGUCAGAGUGGUGGGCCCCAGGAGCGGCGCGCGCAAAUUUUAAACCUCUGACGCCGUCGCUUACGUGGAGCCACGUGUCGAUCGCUGAAUGGUCUUACCCUAAGCCUACGCCGUCGCUUACGUGGAGCCACGUGUCGAUCGCUGAAUGGUCUUACCCUAAGCCUACGCGGAGGGUAAGACCCACCCAAUAUUUUCUCGCCCCCCGGGGAUUUAUCAUCAUUGCUCUGAAAAAUGGACAGUAAUCCUUGUACACGCGUAAAGUGACAAUUGACAAGGAAAGGUCUAAGACGCGUGAUGGAUUUGUAUCUCUCCAAAAAUGUCUUACUAUGUACAGUGCAAUCCUAGAUGCUUGUGCCAUAGUGCUUAAUCCUUGAAAUUACGAGCUACAUAAUUCAAAAGCAUCGAUGGAGAUAGAUUUGUAUCUCUCUAGACACGUCUUAUUAUGAUCAGUGAAAUCCUAGAUGCUUGUCCCAUAACGCUUAAUCCUUGAAAUUGCGAGCCAUAUAAUUCAUAAGCAUCUCCGAAUUUAUCAUUAUUGCUCUAAAAUAGGGAUAAAAAUGGUAGGAAUCUCAAAACUUUCAUACAACGCUCGCUUGAGUGCAAAAACUUUUUUUUUUCACUCAAUUGAUUAUCACAAAUUUGAAAAUUCGAUCACUUAAGUGCCCAUUUCGAUUUGUCUCACUGGAAAAUCCAACAUGAAUGUCGGUCAUCCGUCAUGACUUUGUCAGUGAUAAUGUUGACAUUUUUUUAUUUUUAAAAAUGUUUUAUUUUUUUAUUUUUUUGCUUUUUUUGCUUUUUUUCUUUAAGACCGGUGAGGGUCUCCAGCAACCCUCAUCAACUGCGACAUCCUCGCCCUCAGCCACAAAGGCCCUAGGCAAGGCCAUCGGGGCGUCCUCAACUGCUAGCGAGGGCGAUGCCACACAGAGCUAGCAAGGGCCUUUACCUUCUCACUUGCCACCAGCAAGGUCGCAAUGCCCUUGCCUAAAGCCUUCGUGGCCAAAUCUAGGCAAAGGCCACCUCCCUUUGCCAUAAGGCCUUGGGUGAGGGCAUUGCAGCCUCACUGGUCAUUGGCGACGCCAAUCGGAGUAGGUGAGGGCAUCAUGACCUCGCCAACUACAGGCGAGGCCUCAAGGGCCCUUGCUUGCUUUGGAUGGCAUCACCCAUAACCACCCAAAGCUGGUGAGGGCCCUCGUGGCCCUACCAGCAGCUAGCUAGAUGACCCUCACCCAGAUUGGGGGAGGUUUUCAUGGCCGGCGAAGGUUGCUGGUGACCAUCAACCCUAAAGAAAAAAAACAAAAUAAAAAUGAAAUUCAAAAAUUUCACGUAGGAUAAUUUGCCAAAAUUAGCAUUCAAGUGAUCGAUUUUACUUCGAUGUGGCACUCAAGUGAGUAAAAAAAAAGUUUUGACACUCAAAUGAGCGCCAUAUGAAAAUUUCGGCACUUCUAGUUUUCUUGCCAAUCUUAAUUUGACAAUUGGAGCACUUCUUGCCAGAAAUAAGGAUGUUGAUGUAAAAUUAACACCCCGGAUAUUUAGAAGUAUUGAACACAAACCUCAAUCGUUCCUUUUUCGAUAUUUUCUAGCUAGCAAUAGGAUAAGUUAAAUUAAACAAUGCUAAGACAGGUGGCAUGCAUUCACAUUUCAAAUGAAUGCACAUGUGAACUUAAUCUAGAGAUAUUUUCUCUCCAUCAGCUUCGCCCACAGCUACACCAGCAUCUCUCUCUCUCUCUCUGCACAAGCUUUGUCCCAUAAUCAAACCAAGAGUAGUAUUUUCUAAGGAUAAGUGUACUAAAAUUUCUAAAAUUUGUCGAGAAAUGCAAAAGGUGUAAUAAGUUCUUAGAAUUUGUCAAAGUUUUGUAAUCAAGUCUCUUUGUUAGUUCUAUAUAAUUUGAAUAACAGAAAAUCCCAACAUGAUUAUUUUAACUACUUUUGUUAUGACCAAAGCAAAAGCUACGACGAAAUUAAAUUUGAGAAAAUUAAAAAAAAAGAAAAACAUACAAAUUUACAUGGAAACUAUGGGGAAAAAAACUACAGGGAGAAAAGAAGCAAAAUCUACUAUGAAAAUUCAAGCAUUACCAACGGUGGCUUGGAAAACCUUAAGACUCUUUUUAUCACAUUUUUUAAACCUAAUAACUUAGGAAAAGAAUAAUAUUUAUAUUGCUCCAUACGGCAGGACGCAGUCCCCCCACCUCUGCAAAGGAUUAGUGGUGGGCUAGUGGUUUGGGCCUCGACCAACACUAAGCCUCCAUUUGUUUUUCUCAAGUUAGGUAGUCACAAAUUUCAAUUUGAGUAUCAAAACUCAAUUUAAUUCCUGAGAACAAAAUUCAAGACAUGCUCAACAAUUUCUUGAGACACGUGGCGCCCCCUAAGCACCACAUAAAAUAAUGAAAUUUUUGGGAAAAAAAUUAAAGAAAGAAAGAGAGAGCAAAAGUAAAAUAAGAAAAAAAUGAUAAUGUCGAACAAAAUGCUAAUAGUGAGGGGAAAAAGAGAGAGAGAGAAAGCAAGCAAGACCUCCGCUUCUGGUUUCCCAAAGGAACAGUGGUUUCGAUUCUAGCGAGCGAAAGUUGAGAUUAAAGGGAAUGAAUCUAUUUUGAGGGGGACUUUCAACCUUCGCAGAUCGCCUACGGAGACUUCUUGGAUCAAUUUUAAAUAUGAAAGGCUCCACUAUUCUGCCAUGGCUGUGGUAGGAUUGGCCAUGGCCGCCAUAGCUGUACCUUCAUCAUAGAUGCUGCGUCGACGGGGAGGUGCUCUCGAAUUUGCGGGCUGCGUCCAACCUUUUCUACAUCGACCCAUCAGUCGGUUCCAAUUCACAAUUUUGAUAAGGAACACUAAAAGUUUGAAAAAAAACUUCCUACGAUUGCUAUCAUUACGAAAAACCGAAAAAAAAAAAAAUGUGGACGGUCUUGCUACGGCGCCGCCCCCCACACCACACCCCGGGGGGGGGGGGGCGCUGGCGGGGGGCCUGGCGGCGUUUUUUCAACUUUUUGUUCCUUUUUUCUUGAUAUGAUCCUUUUCUAUUCAUUUAAAAAAAUUUAAAUUUUUUCUUUUAUAAUUUUAAUAAAAAAAAGCGUUAGCCAAAUUGAAAUGAGUUGAUGGAAUGACUUAAUUGUAUCAAUUUGACAAAUUUUAUGACUUAAUUGAACUUUUGCAACAAUGGUCACGCAUCAUGUUCAUGAUAAUGCAACCAAAAUUCCCCUGAUUAGGUUUCCACUUAUUAUUAGUCAAUGGCUUGACCCACAAUGAUAUCAUAAAUUAAUAUACAUAUAUCCAAAUACCCUUCAAUGGGCUCACAGAGAUACUCAGCAUAGUCAAUCAACCUCAAUCUCCAGAAUCCACAACCAAAAUAAAAAAACCAUUUCACAAUUCAACUUUAAUAACUACAUCACAACUUUUCACCAUUCGAUAAAUAAAUAUAUAUAGGUAGGUAUAGGCAGUCGUUCCAACUAAAGAGGCAGCAUAAAGAGGGAGGGCUGGUUCAGGAAAGGAGUAGGCCACAAUCAUUUCACAAUUCAGUUUAAUAACCAAAUCACAACUUUUCACUAUUCGAUAUAUAUACAUAUAUAUGUAUAUCAAAGCAGCUCAAAAAUCACAUUCAUAAAUCAUAAACAUUUUCAUUAUUCUUUCAUAGAAGGUUUCACAAACCAUUUACAAGCAAUCGGUUCAAACUAAAGUUGAAGGAUGACUCCCCAUUUCAAACAAACUAAUGAAACGGCAGUAAAUGUUCGAUCCUAUUUUGUGCAACAACAAAUGUUAUUUCUUAAGUUAGAACAUAUAUAAUCCAUAUCAUUUUCCAAACAUAAAAACAUAAAGAAUAAAUAGUAUCACUCAUCUAGGAAAGCCAAAAACCAACUUCGAUGGUUACUACAGCUGAUGCACUUAUUCCUAUUUUCUAUAAUCAUCCAUAUGCAUAAUGUGUGGAUAGCUCCAAGGGCCAAUUUCGAACGAAACACUGUAAUGUUGAUUCCAACGGGAGUAGUCCUCGCACACGACGCCAAAUACUUAUUUGUAAUUAUUAAAGGAAAACCAUUUACAAGUUGAACUAGAAACAGUGUUUUUGUUCCUUUCGCUUUAUCCGUUUUGUCCUUAUCGAAUCUCUGGUCCUAUAAAUUUCUGGCUCAAUCGACCAAACCCUCCGACAAUCAUCAGCAUUUCCGCUCCCUGAUUGAGCAAAUACAUGCACAACAUUUUCAGCACGAUGGCUCUCACCUCCCUCCUCCUCCACCUCCUCCUCCUCCUCUCUUCUCUCCAUGUCAGUAAUUUGUCGAGCUUUCACUCUCCAUGCGUAGCCAACUGCUCAUCUCUCUUUCUGUGUUUCCAUGCAAAGACAGGGCUAUAUGUUUAAUUCGAUAUCUCGCGCUUAAUUAGUAUAUACUCCUUACCUAAGAAUUGCUGAAAGAUUUUUGCGGCCAGUUACUCCAUUAGCAAUCACUUCUCAUCCAAUAUUUGUCAACCCAAUCUCUCUAUCCUGGUUUACAGUGCUUAGGUUAUCGGACCAACUGGGGAGCCCAGGCUUCAUAAGAAUUUAUUUACGCAUGCAAGAAACUAAACAUGUUAGUUUGUAUCAAAAUAAACCUAAAAAUAUUAUAUAUAUCUUCAUACCAAAAAGAAUAUUUUAUAUAAUAUAUAUUAGUAUAUAUAUAUAUAUAUAUAUAUAUAUAUCAUUUGGGUUAUCUUAAUGCAUGUCAGUAGAUCAAUUGUGUUUAUGUGUUCUUCAGGCUAACAAAGAAAUGUGAACGAAACGUAGAUAAUCAGGUCAACAUAUAAUACUUUGAUAAUAUGAAAGCAUGUAAGUUGCAAAAGUCAUUUUAAGUGAUUGAGCAUGACGUUACUACUUUAGACACAUGCAUCAGAGAGCAUACGUUAAUGAUUGUUAGGAAUAAAUUGUUGGGUCAUCUGUGUUCAUUGUGAAGAUAAUUUCAAUCAUGUUAUUAUGCAGUUCUAAUUUCGUGUUACGUGACUUGUACUUUUUUGCACGUUCAUUACAAUUUUCCAUAUGCCUAUUUUACUUCUAUAAUUAUGUCAUUGCACAAUUACAAUUACUUAAGUCCAUGAUGUCCAUUCUAACCGUGAUUACAUAAACUUCUAGCUCACAGUCACUCUUUGAUUUUCUUUUGUGGAUUGUCCUGCCAUAGGUCCUGACUGCCGUCGCUAGAGCUGCUCCCGAGGGGGACUCCCUCGACGGCGAGGCUAACUCGAUCUCUCCCAAAGCAUACCUUGUCCAUUACUGGAACAAGCAAAUCACCAACAACCUUCCCAAGCCACCAAUCCUCUUCUCCAAAGCGUCAACCCUGACGGCCACGUCAGUGACCAUCUUCGCCGAACUUGUCGCCAAAGGCGCCAUCUCUGACCACCUCCUAUCUUUCUGCGAGGAGGCGCAAUUGCUCUGCUUCAUGAACUCUGAUGGGGUCGCAGCGGCAAACUCGCUCGUCAACUACCCCAUCCCCCCACCUGUCCGCCGCCUCACUUAUACCCAUGGUGUCGAUACAAUUGUGGCAGCUGAUGACAAGAAAGUAAAUGGGGGCGUGGAGCAGGGCGAGUUCUUUCGAGAGUCGAUGCUGAAGAGCGGGAAUGUGAUGCCAAUGCCCGACCUCCGGGAUAACUUGCCAAAAAGGUCAUUUUUGCCUCGCCGCAUUUCCUCCGAACUGCCGUUCUCAACCUCAAAGCUCGCUGAGCUGAAGCAAAUCUUCCAUGCCAUUGAAAAUUCCACUAUGGAGAAGAUCAUGGCGCAAACGCUAAGCCAGUGGGAGGGUGCAGCACUCCAAGACGAAAUCAAGAGGUGUGUGGCCUCCAUCGAGGACAUGAUCGAUUUCGCCACCUCGGUUUUGGGUCAUGACGUCUUGGUCCGAUCCACGGGGAGCGCCAGAGGGUCGAAGCAGGAGGUCUUGAUCGGGGUGGUCAAGAGGAUCGAGGGCAGCGAAGUGAGCAAGCCCGUGGCCUGUCACCAGAGUCUAUUUCCUUACGUUGUCUAUUACUGCCAUACAUUUUCAAACGUCCGGGUUUACGAAGCAGACAUACUAGAUCCCAAAUCCAAGGCUAAGAUCAAUCACGGUGUCGCCAUCUGUCAUAUGGACACAUCAACUUGGAGCCCUACCCACGAGUCAUUCCUCUUGCUUGGAUCGGGUCCUGGCCAGAUCGAGGUCUGCCAUUGGAUAUAUGAGAAUGAAAUAUUAUUGGAUAUAUGAGAAUGAAAUAUUAUGGACAACUGCCAAGUCAUAAUGAAAGAAUAAAGUGUGGUGAAGAUGGAAUAAACAUGGGUUCGGCCUGUUGAUCAAGACAGAACUUAGCCUCUAGCUAGCUCCAUACGAAGUCCUCUCUCGCUUUGCAUUACAAUCUAAAUAUAGUAUCUGAAUCUGAUAUCCAUAAUGACGUGUUUGUGGUUGGUGAGAGACUAUUGUUAUGGUCAGUAAAUGGCAAGUGCUUUUUUUGUGAUUUGAGUACAUGUUCAAGUCUUUUUGCAUUCUCCUGUCCUUUGUAUUUAGAGAUCUUCCUAGCUCCUAUCUCUCAAUCUGCGUUACUAUCUUCGAGAAUUUCCAUCAACUUUCAACGAGGACCAAUAACUAUUUUCACAGGAGAAGUACACUAUCAGUGCCAUAAGUUGUGUACGGCGCUCACUUUGGUGCCAAAAAUUUUCGUCAGAUCACUUAAAUGCCAAAAAGUUUGAAAAAUGAUCAUUUUGGUGCCAACUUCGAUCAGAUUGACCGGAAAUCCGAUGUGGCACUUUUUUAUUAAUUUUUUACGCUGAUGUAGCUUGCCGGAGAGUACAGUCAGCAUGUAAACCACAAAAACGACGUCGUUUGAUGUCUCUCCCCCAAUUUAAAACCCUAAACCCUAAAUCUGCUGGAUAAUCUUGGCUACUGCCGCCCUCUUCGUCCUCUUCUCCUCCCUUGCCGUCCUCUCUGCCGCCGCCCAUGGCACCGCCAAGCACCACCACCUCCUCCACUACCUCAACGAGUUCGGCGACUGUAGCAAGCAAGUCACUGUCGACCCCUCCGCCUCCUUCGAGAACCCGUGCCUUCGUAAUGCCUACGUCGCCCUCCAUGCCCUAAAGCAAGCCAUCCUCUCCAACCCCAACAACUUCACCGCCAACUGGGUCGGCCCCGACAUCGGCAGCUACUCUAACGUCUUCUGCUCCCCCGCCCCCAACAAACCCGGCGUCCACACUGUCGCUGGCGUCAAUGGUUUUCCCUCCUCCUCCCCCUUCAACCACCCACAUCCCUCGCCUCUGCCUCCAUUGGUGAUGGGCCAGUCGCCAUCCUUGACGGCCCUCGUGCUCGGCGGCCGCGGCUCCGACCCCGACCCUGACCCCAACCUUGACUUGGCCACUUGGCGGCCAAGUUGAAGGCCGUGAUCUUGCUCAAGUGCAAACCUCACGUCGCCAAGCGACGGCGGCUGAGCAAGCUAGGUCGACAGCCGAGCGACGGCGGCCGAGCCAGCUAGGUCAGCGGCCAAUGAGGAUCGGAAAACCUAAUUUCAAUCUCCAAAUAAAAUAUAAAAAAAAUCCCAAAAUGAGUUGUGUGGCGUCAUUUUUGUGAGACCAUCCACUUAGAACGGCAAAACGAUGUCAUUUUCUUAAAGAGGACGGAAAACGACGUGGUUUCUCAAGCCAUGUCGAUUUUUUUUUUUUUUAAAUAUAAAAGCCACAUCAUCAUUUUGGCCGGAAUCUCUCGCCGGUGACACCAAAGUAAUCAUUUUUUCUCUGAUUUGGCACUUAAGUGAUCCGAUUAAAACUUUUGGCACCAAAGUGAGCGCCGUACACAACUUAUGUCACUGAUAAUGUACUUCUCCCCUAUUUUCAUGAAACUAUUAUUCUAUAAACUGGGGACAGAUAAGAAUGCAGUGUUUUUCGAUAAAAGAAAGUGGCCCAGUGGUCGGAGGUCCCAACGUGAUUGUUUUUAUACACUUGACAUUGAAGAGCAAGAGUUGCCUGGUUCAAUCUUGAAGUGGCACCUCUCACUUUUUUUUUCCUUUGAAUUUUGCUUUUAAACUUUUCUGCAUUUAUCUUUUGCUUGCACUUUCAAGGUCACAUAAACUAUAUGUCAUCAGAUCAUUGCUUUCUUUUUCUUUUAUUUUUUUAUUUUAGCUUUUUUUAAGCGUUUGUCAUUGGAACAAGAUGAUUCAAUAAGAACCCAUAAUAUGAGAUUAGACUUCUAAAAUCCUGAAAACUUCACAUGAAUGAUUCUCAUACAAUAAAAAUGUAAAAACUAAAUCUACUUAUGUUUCGCUGGAAUUACUCUUACAACGAAAUAUCUUUCAUUGAAAGUCGUGCUUCAAUUUUAUUAAGGGGGACAAGGGUUAUGUGUCAACUCCAGAGAGGGGAUAUCUUAUGCCUAAAGGAAUUGAACUUCUUUGAUCCAAACAACACUAUACAAUCUUAGACUAAGUCGGAAUUUAAUCAACAACAAGGCCAAAAAUAAAAUAAAAUUACAAGACUAGUGUCAAACUAUGCCGGAAUAUAACCAACGACACAAGUUAAGGAUGGUAAGAUGUAGAAUUGGAAUUCAAUCAAUGACAACGUACCAGGAUAGUAAGAUACAGCGAUGGAAUUUAAUCGACCAAGAAUCAAAUCGACCACGGGAAUCUAAAAGUUAUAGCUAAUGAAAUUAAAGUGCAAUACAGAAAAAGUAAAGAUAGAAAGAUGACAUUUUGAUAAAUUUGUCGAUGGCUUCUUGUUGGAUGACUAGUGGUAUUUAUAGUGAAUGUAUGAUAACCGUUUUGUAGCUGCAUCUUCUCUAGUAAUUGCUAUUGGCUUUAACCAUGAUCCUUUAUUCUUGUAGAUCACUUUGCCCAUACUUCAUAUAACCGUCCUGUUUGUGUUUUGAGGAUUAUGCAAUUAUCAAUGCCAUUCUAUGACUGGGGCUCCAAAUAGCAAUGGUUUUUUUUUUUUUUUUGACGACGUGCGUUUUUUAUGCUAACUACCUUAGCACCUUGAGUAAUAUUCAAAGAGAAAAAGUUGUCGCCAAAGUUUAUACGGGCAGCUACCAAUCGUCCAUUGUCAUAUUUCAAUAAUUGGACACGUGGCAUUUUUUUUUAUCUCAUCGUCGAUAUCACUGGAUAGCUGCCCCUACUCUUGUUGAUAGUCCGGCAUACAUCAAACAUCAUUGUGCACAUGACUAUAACUUAUUUCUGUCUCAAUGUUUUGUAUUUUUCACCCUGCAGCAGGGACGAGCCAACCGGAUCAAUUAUGAAUGUCAACAACCUCAUAAAAUAAUGACACUCCUAAUAUGGUAGAGAGGGUUUUCUUAUUCGUGUGGAGUAACAUAGAUAAUUUGCAAUAUUCCUAAAGUGCUACGGCCGAGGUAAAUCUCAACUUUAAUAUCAGCUAUGUAGUUCACAAUUUCAUGAAAGAUCAUGUAUUCAUGAGAGGACAUGUAACAUUUUCUUUGAAGAUAAAUAUUCAUUAUUGUGUAUUUCCUUGUUUAUAUAAAGUGACGCAAUUUGUCAUGCGAUUGAUAAAUUUCUUUGUUUGUAACUAUACUUUUAUCUUUUAACACUCUUAGCCCAUGAACCUGCAUCGCUGAAUGGCCACUUCUGAUGUAUUCGUUUCUUGGAUGAGCAUUUGUCUGGCUUGGCAGUGAUCGACCCAUGUGGCCACAAUGAAUAGUGGAAGCAAAAUUGGUGAACAGAAUUUAAAGAAAAGAGUCGAGUCCAAUUGAAGAAAUCGUACAAAACCGGGGUGGGACCGUGCAUCGAUAAAUCCAGGUUCUUUCUACAUAUUCUGUCGUUGGGCUGCAAGAGAGAUCAUUGAGAAUGCGUAUAAAUAAAGUUCCUAUUAUCUUUUAUAUGCCAAAGGUACGAGCGUAGUCACUCAGUUACUUGAAGGUUCAUGAAAUACUCUACAAGUCUCACAAAUCCUUUGAGCCCUAGUUUUGUAAUUGUUGGCAGGUUUGGAUAAAAGUUCUGAGGCUUUGAUUGAGAAGUCAUGGAAAAUCGGGUGGAUAGGCUAUUUGCAUAUGGAGUAAAAAUCAGCUCAGGGUUCUUCAUGGGAUCCAAGAACCACAUAGAGAGAUAUAUACUAUUAUAUGGUAUUUUUUCCCCCAAAAAAAUCAUAUGAUAGAAAAUGCGGGUAUACGUGUUCUCCGAUGUAGUUUCAUUUUGUAAAUGAACCAGUUAGUCGUUUCUUUUCCUAAUCCCUGGAAAGAAAGCACAAAUCCUAGAGAUUUCAUUUAUCUCUAGUAGAAGUGAUUGUAAUUAGGUUUACUCAUAAUGGCAUCUAAUUACUUUAACCCUAGUUCUAGAUUAGCUAGCCAAUUACACAGUUUCUCUACUGGAGUACAUGCCCAUAUAUAGAAAAUCAAAGUUUUGAUCUUAAAAAUUUAUCAGAUCACUGUACAACUUGAUUACUUAACCGAGAGCUGUCCAAUCUGAGGAACAGAUGGAUGCCGUUUCAUUGUUUAAUAGUAUUAUUACAAAAAAACUUGUCCUUUUGCGAAAUUGGCAUUUUGCAUUAAGCCAGUUGUUUUUCAUUACCAAGACCUACCAUGUCUGAAGCAUAGAUGACUGCUUUUCUUUAAUGGCGUUUUAAUCAAGUAGAUUAAUAUGACUUACUACCUAAAUAGUUUUUGUUUGUAGCUAAUUCUGAGGUGUUUGUUCUUAUUCUCUUCCAUCCUUUCAUCAAUCUCAUGGGCUUUUUUCCCAUCACCUUCCUUUGUUUCGUGCUCAAACGCAAGACUGAUGGCAAGUGCAUCUUCAAUCGAUAGAAUCUUUUAAGAGGAAAUUCUAUACAAAUCUAACUUUCAUUUACACUUUCCCUUCAAAAUGUGAAACAUAUGUAUUUCUUUUGGGUGAUAUCCAUAAAUGUAACUUACCCAUCAGAAGAUUGAGCCGGAAGAAAUCAUGACACUUUUUUAUAACAAACGAGUUAAGGAAUUGCUUAAGUGAUAACCAUAAUUAUAUACCUCACUCGAGCUUUGGGUUCAAAUCACUGCACUUAUGCAAGUACAGGCCUAGGUGUCAACAAUAAUUACUCGAUCUGUGCAAAAUUAGAAAACUGUCACAACUAGUAAAGAUUAGAUGAUUUCUCAAAUUAGGAAACUGUCACAACUAGUAAAGAUUAGAUGAUUUCUCAAAAAGUCACAAUUACCCCAUUAUCAUUAGAAAAAAAAAAACCGACUAUUAAUUUAUGCGACAGCAAUGAGACGAAUUAUGUGUGUGUGUGUGUGUGUGUGUGUGUGUGUGAGAUAAUCAAACAGAAGGCAGAGAAUAUUCGAUAUGAUACUUAUUAAUUGCAAGUUAUAUUAAAAAAAUUUAAUUAAAUUUUUUUUUUCGCUUGACAGAGAACAUUUGAUAUGAAAGUUUAGUUAACUACAGGUUGCACCUGUAAGGUGCAAAAUUGGUGGUUAAGAGUCCCAACUUGAUAGUUUGUGUUAUAAAGUUACAACAAAAAACUUACAAAACUAAUAGGUAUGGACACACAUUUGCGAUAGGGAUAACUCAGCCUCCGUCCCAGCCUAACAAGCUCUCACUACCAUUGAAUCUGUCAAUUGACUAAUGGAGCAGAUUGGAGCCUUCUGAUCGGUCCAAUCAUAUGAUUGGGAAAUCUCUAUGUUUAUAGCUAUACUUUUACCUUUUACUGGCUUUCUCCAAAAAUUUUAUUACGUAUGGAAUAACAAACGGCCUAUAAUUAUUUGAAAUUGCUGCGGAAACGGACGGGAUCUUUCUAGCAUGACCUUACUACGAAGACUUUGUUGUGGGCUAAUAUUAGAGCAGCCCUUGGGCCUGCAUCGCUUGUGAAUGGCACUAACGAUGUACUCGUUUCUUGCAUGAGCAAUUUUCUGGCUCAGCAGUGAUCGACCCAUGUGUCCUGGAUGAAUAGUAGAAGCAAAAUUGACAUUGGCGAAGAGGGUCAACAGAGAAGAUGUCCAGUCCGAUUGAAGAUAUCAUACGCAUCCGGGGUAGACCCGCCUUUGUCCAUGUGAUCCCAAACUUUGUGGACUGUGCAUCGAUAAAUCCAGGGUCUUUUGAUGUAUACUGUCGUUGGGAUGCAAGAGAGAUCAUUGAGAACACAUGGGCACCAAAGUCACUAAAUUUACAAGCCAACGGCAUGAGAGUAGAGGCUUGGUUACCUGGAAGCCUAUAAAAACCCUGCAAGCCUCAUGAAUAGUCCAAGUGGUCUGCGCAGGUGGUUCUGACUAGAGCAGCUUGUACACGGUUAUUGGAAUUCGAACAAAUGAACUCCAAUUUCUGACUUACCAAUUUCUAGAUUUGCAAUAGGCAAAUUGUUUAAACAUCUUCGUGGAAAAUAAAUAUUUUCCAUUUAUUAAGUUAAGUGAAAGCGAUAAUUUUACAAAAAAUAUUUUUCAAAUCAUUCAUUUUCUAUCAAACAAACAAAGCCUAGGUAUAACGGUGAAUAUGAACAUCUUUAUGCGUAAAUGUUAAAUCCACGAGUUUGCCAAGGUGGAUUUAUAGCUGAUAUGAAAAUGCAACUUCAGGCAUGUUGGAAGGAGGGUUAGCGUUAGGGGAAAUUUGGGGCUUGAAUUAAAGUUUGGGAUUUUCUUAGAUAAAAAGUUCGGGGUUUUUUUAGAGUAUUGAAUCAAUCAAAAGUGACCAAAUUUUGAUUAUUAUCGAUGAGAACAAAGUUUGGUUAAAACAAAAAUUAUCAAUAAACUGAACAGUAAACGAAUUGAAAAAAUUGGAUAACUUACCGAUAGAGUUAUCAAUAGAAAAUUAUGCAUAGAUUAUCGCUGAGAUCCUUCACUAUAGACAAAUUGAAGGAGAUCGAUAAGCCAUCAACAACAAAUAAUUACCACAAGUAAUCGCAAAUUUCCAGUGAAAUAUUGAGGCUGUGUAAUUCAUGACCAAAACAGAGGUUUGCCACGAAUACAUCAAUAGGCAAAUACGGUGGAUUCACACCAACACUUGAUCAUUAGGUGGUUAUGCCUAUAACCAUGGAAUUUAUGACUUCUUCUGGAUAAUCACUAUUGAAUGAUAGAGGAUAAUGUUUAGUCUCAUAAAGCAUAUGUAGUACUUUAGCUUUAGCUGGUACGUCCAUGAUGGGGUGCGAACAGAACGCACUGUUUCGUCUUGAUGCGUUACGAUGGAAAGUCACUAAUGGAGGGGUACGAAGGGAGACGUAUAAAAUCCUCCCGAACACAACCGUUGGAAUGGUUGGCCAUUCAUUCGCACCAAAUUUUCUCUGCAUUUCCAUUAAAGAAGAUCAAGGCAUUCCAUUUCAUCUUUGCAAGAACAAUCGGCAUUUACGCCGUGGAAAUCGGGUGUUUUCCUCGUGAUUGCAUCCAGACUAACGUGAGGUAGUGUUGUUCGUGAUUUCGUUGGCAAUUCAACGUUCGUUCCGGGGCUAUUUGCUGUUUGCACAUCGGAAUCAGGUAAGUCGUCUUCCGCCGACUUAAAUUCCAACAUUGGUAUCAGAGCCCGAUCGUGAUUUCUGCCUUGUUUUUCAUCGAGUUUUCACAUUUACCAUUUGAUAUUGAGAUCAAGAGAUAGUAUUCUACACUGUUUGGAUCUCUGAUAGUCGGAAUUGCCCUAUGAAAAACUCGAAAUUGAACCGGAGCGAAGAACGGGUUCGAGGUCGUGUGCACCCGUGAGGUUUUGGCCAUUUUUUGAAAUAAUUUUUUGAUCAAAAUUAAUUUUUGAAUAUACCGGGUGAAAGAGCUCGUCGAGACGAGUCCGGCGGUGGGUCGAGCGCCGCCAGGCGACGCCGGACGCGCCCACACGCGCGGCCAGAAGCCGUUGCGCAUGGGCGCCACGCGCCUGAAGCGCUGGCACAGCCAGCGCGUCCGCCACACGCGCUGGUUAGCGAACCGGCACGUGCGGACGCGCGCCAGCCGGCGAACCGGCGCGUGAUGACGUCACCAUGACGUCACCCAACGGUCGGUAACUACUGGGAUGACGUCAUCAAUGACGUCAGCGCCAACGACAGUUGGCCGGCCGGCGACCCGACCCGACCCGACCUGACCCGACCCGACCGUUGACCGGUCAACGGCCGGACCGGUCGGACCGGCCAGGAGCCGUUUGGCUCGCUGGCGCGUGCGCCGCACACUCAGGCGGCGCAUGGGGGUGCGUGCGAGCUCCGAUUGGAGCGUGGUCGGUCGUGUUUGGUUUGUAUGAGUGUCCUCUACACAGUGGUAUAAUUAUUUUAUACUUUUGAAUUUUAUAAAUGCAUGAAAAUGCGUAGGAAACCCUAUGUACGCGUAUUUUUGGGGUUUUAAUGCAGCUUAUUCAUUUGUAGCUUGUAUUUUCUUGUGAUUAGGGAAAUACAGUAGCUAGCCUGUGUGCAAAUGAUGUUAUAUAUGUUGUGUAGAGCUUGGUUCAAUGAUAUGAUGUAUAUAUUUUAAUAUACUUGCAAUUUUCUAGUUGCUAGAAAAUUAGAACAAUGGUAGGAAAUCCAUUACAUGUUGAAUUGCAAUUUUAAUUAUAGUUGAAGCAUGAUUGUUGUUUAUACGUUGGUUAUUAUCAUGCUAUGUUUUUUGUGUUAAGGAAAAAUGUAGAAAUUACAUAAGGUCAUGUAAUUAUUUUUCCUAGUGGGAGUUCGUAAGUUGGUAGAAUUGAAAGAAGUUCUCACCUAGAACUCAAAAUUUGUGCAAAUUAAACUAAUUAAUGAUAAUAGAACAUUUGUACAUAGAAGUUGAUUGGGAACAUAGUGAACUUUUGCCUCUGUGUCUUUUGUUGAAUUAUCAUUAAUUUAGUUUGUCUUUGCUGCAAAUUAAAUAUGUGUGUUACUCUGUAUAGUGUGCUAGUAUUGAUUUUGCGUUUAUUAUGUCAAUGUGUUAUAGCAAUGGCAUCGGCAUCCAAGACUAUUGUGGCUAACCUCAAUAAGGGUGAGAAGCUGAACGGUGACAAUUAUGAUAUUUGGCACCGAAAGGUUCAGUACAUCCUUGAGGAGCAAGAGGUUUUGGAAACCCUCAACCAUACCAUGGAUGAACCUGAGUAUGGAACUUCAGCUUAACACAGGAGAGAUCUGGAAGCUUCUCAAGCUUGGAAAAAGAAAAAUAGCAUUGCUCGCAUCACGUUGCUGAGCUGUAUGCAAGAUGAUCUCAUCUGUGAGUUUGAGAGUUAUGACAAAGCUCAAGCUAUGUGGGUUGCCUUGAAAGAUAAGUUUGGGGGUACAUCUGCUACUAAGCUGAGGAGACUUACCAUCAAGUUUGACACAUUUCGAAAGCGCCCAAAUGUAAUGAUGAGGCAGCAUCUUCGGGAGAUGUCAAACAUGAUCCGUGAGCUGAAGUCGGCAAGUCACUCCCUUACUGAUGAACAGUAAGUUCAGGCUGUUAUAAGGUCUCUUCCUGAUAAUUGGGAGCAUAUGAAGAUCAAUAUGACGCAUAAUGAGAAUAUUGUCACUUUUGAUGAUAUUGCGCGUCAUUUGGAAUUAGAGGAUGAGCGCCUAGAGGCUGCAAGAUCCUCUACCCAUGCUUAUGUUGCUGAAUCGAGUUCGCGCAAGGCUUCAGGCUUCAAGCGCAAGAGGAAUCUUCAGUUCAACAACAAAGGGAAGAUGACUGAUCAGGGACCCAAGAGGGCUAAGACCUUCCGACGCAAGAAGCGUGGUGGGAAGAAGGACAAGGCCAAAAUGGAGUGCCACAAUUGUGGCAAGAUGGGUCACUUUGCUCGUGAAUGCACUGAGCCGAAAAAGGUACCCUAUUACUCCAUUACUUUGAGUAAUGCUUUUGUUUCUAGUACUGUAAUGCUUACUGAAUCUCAUCCAAUGUUGACUGUAGACUCAGGAGCAACAGACCAUGUAGCUAGAGACCGAGAAGCAUUUGUGGAGUAUCGUCGGAUACUGUCUGGAAGAAGAUGGAUAUAUGUUGGGAAUAAUUCAAGAGUUGAAGUGAAGGGUAUCGGCACAUGUAAAUUAAUCUUACGUGGUGGUCGAAACCUGUUCCUGCAUGAUGUCUUUUAUGCUCCAGAUAUUCGACGAAACUUGGUCUCUGUAGUUGUUCUUCUUAGCUUAGGUUAUGUAUUGAAUUUCCAUGGUGAUUGUGUUGACAUUUUGUAUGGAACAGUUUAUUAUUAUUCAGGUCAUGUAUCGAAUGGUUUUAUGGUGUUAGACAUUGACUAUGAUUAGUACAAUGUUAAUGUUGAUGGUUGUUUUUCUUUAAUUGCGUCUUCUAACAAUGUUGAGAUUGAUGCAAGUACUUGGUAUGCUAGAUUAGGUCACAUUGGAUUGCAAAGAAUGCAAAGAUUAGCUAGAGAAGGCCUUUUAGGGUCACUCACUAAUGUUAGUCUAUCCGUAUGUGAACAUUGUUUGGCGGGAAAAACAACUAGAAAACCAUUCGGUAAAGGGACUAGAGCUGAAUUUCCAUUGCAUCUCAUACAUUCUGACAUUUGUGGUCCUUUGAAUGUGAGGGCGAGGCAUGGAGCCUCAUAUUUCAUCACUUUCAUAGAUGACUUCACACGUUUCGGUUAUGUCUUUCUGAUCUCCCAUAAGUCAGAAGUAUUGGACUGCUUUAGACGACAUAUAGCGAUGGUAGAGAAUCAGUUGAACAAAAUAAUAAAGGCAUUGAGAACCAAUCGUUGACGUGAGUAUCUAUCAGAGCAAUUCAAGGCUCUUUGUGAUGAAAAGGGAAUUGUAAAACAAUUGACUAUUCCUGGUACCCCACAACAAAAUGGGGGUAGCUGAGAGAAGGAAUAUAACCCUAUUGGAAAUAGUUAGGUCUAUGAUGGCGCAAGCAAAUCUACCUAUCUCCUAUUGGGGAGAUGCGUUAUUGACUGCUGCCUAUAUACUUAACCGUGUGCCCUCAAAAUCGGUCACUUCCAUCCCUUAUGAAUUAUGGACUGGUAGGAAACCAGACUUGAGUAGUCUACGUCCAUGGGGAUGUGCAGCUUAUGUUCAUGAUUCUUCCCAUAAACAUGGAAAAUUAUGUCCUAAAGGGAAGAAAUGUAUCUUUAUAAGAUAUUCCGAACACUCCAAAGGGUACGUGUUCAUGGGUGAACAAGCUGAUGGAAGUGUGACCAAAAUGGAGUCACGAGAUGUCACGUUCUUGGAGAACGAUUUUCCUAAUAGAGGUGAGAUUGAUAAGGACUUCCAAUUAUAUGAGAUGGAAGAUCCUAAUAACACACCCACUGAUGUUGUAGAGGGAAAUGUAGAUUUACCUCAACAUACAAGACCUAGUGGGAGUGUUGCAUCGCCUGAUGAAUUGAAUUCAAGAGAAAUUCAAUUGCGUAAAAGUGAUCGUAAAAGUAUUCUUCGUCGUCGUUUUGAGAUUGAAGGGGAAGCAUUUAUGAUUGCUCAAAAAGACGAUGCCGAGCCUAAGACUGUUCAAGAGGCUCUCUCAUCCUCUGACAAGGAAGAAUGGAGAAAAGCUUUUGAAGAUGAGAUGGAGUCAAUGAGGGCAAACCAUGUUUGGGACUUGGUUGAUAUACCACCCAAUCGUAAGGCCAUUGGAAACAAAUGGGUCUUCAAGAUUAAGCGUAGGGCGGAUGGAUCCAUUGAAAAGUAUAAGGCUCGCCUUGUGGCAAAAGGUUAUACUCAACAAGAGGGUAUAGACUAUGAGGAAACUUUUUCACCAGUUGUAAGGUUUGCCUCAAUACGCCUUAUUCUAGCCAUCGUUGCACAUUUGGAUAUUGAAUUACAUCAAAUGGAUGUAAAGACAGCAUUUCUCAAUGGAGAAUUAGAUGAGGAAAUCUAUAUGAAACAACCAAUAGGUUUCAUAGCUAAAGGUCAAGAGCAUAAAGUUUGCAAGCUUCAUCGCUCAAUAUAUGGCCUUAAGCAAUCAUCUAGACAGUGGUAUUUUCGUUUUCAUCGAGCAAUAAUAACUUUUGGUUUCACGAUGAUCGAAGAAGAUCACUGUGUAUAUGUCAAGCGGUCCAAAGAUAAAUUUGUGAUUUUAUCACUUUAUGUGGACGAUAUUCUGCUGGCUGGAAAUGACAAGGUUUUGGUUAUCACCAUAAAAGAAUGGUUGUCCUCCAAUUUUGAGAUGAAGGACAUGGGAGAAGCUGCUUAUAUAUUAGGAGUUAAGAUCGAAAGAGAUCGAUCAAGGAAACUCCUUACUUUAUCACAAGAGUCUUAUAUUAUGAAGAUUCUUGAGCGUUUCAAUAUGCAGCAUUGUAAUCCCAUUGAUACCCCUGUCAUGCAAGGUGAAGGCCUAAGUACUGAGAUGUGUCCUAAGACUCCAGAAGAAAUCAAAGUGAUGGAAACUGUUCCUUAUGCUAGUGCGGUCGGAAGUUUGAUGUAUGCUAUGAUGUGUACUCGACCCGACAUAUGCUAUGCCGUGGGAUUGGUGAGCCGAUAUCAAUCAAAUCUCGGUCAAGCACACUAGAAAGCAAUGAAGAGGAUCCUGAGAUACUUGAAGGGCACCAAGGACUAUCGACUUUGUUACUAAGGGAAUGAUUUACGCCUAUUAGGUUAUUCAGAUGCCGAUUGGGGUGGAGACCUGGAUGAGCGUAAAUUGACUUCUGGAUAUGCAUUCUUGCUCAAUGGAGGUGCAAUUUCUUGGAAUAGCAAGAAACAGACAUGCACGGCCUUGUCUACGAUGGAGGCAGAAUUGAUUGCAUGUUAUGCCGCAAUGCAAGAAGCAGUAUGGCUAAAACGUUUCUUGGAAAAUUUAGCCACUGUCACUGAAGUUCCAAGACCGGUGACGGUUUAUUGCGAUAGUCAAGCAGCCAUUGCCCAUGUGAAAGAUCCCAAGUAUCAUGGAAGGACAAAGCACAUUGACAUAAAGAAUAACUUCAUCAGAAUUAUUAUAGCGCAGAAAGAAGUGAUCCUGCAAUACAUUUCAACCAAUAGAAUGGUUGUUGAUCCAUUUACGAAGGCUAUUCCUAGAGACAUGUUCUUGACCCAUAGGAUGUCACUAGGAUUGCGUAGAAUGUGAUAUCUGUUAUUGUAGAGGAUAAUUAGUUUAUGUAUUUGUGGACAGAUGUAUUGUACUUGUUUGUUUAUUAGUGAUUUGAUGUUUUAUCAAUAAGUACAAAUCCACUAUGAGACUAGCACAAACACACAUAUAUUAUUGAAAAGUAUGUCAGCAGGCAAUGAUUGGCUCACUCACACGAGCAAUCGCCUCAAGUGCUGUAGUUAGCAUGUUGAGAUGAGACGUUAUGUACAAAUAAAUGCUGAAGAGCAAGUUUGGUACAUAAAAUAUGUCGCCUUGAUUGGAGUCAAGAUGAGGUCUGUGAUUGGUUUAUAACAAGACCGAACAUGAUAGUCCCACAAUCAUGUAUGCCUGAAAGAUGCCGGAUGCGAGUACUUAAUUGGGCGCUAUAGAAAGCGAGCUGAUAUAGCACUCGGGCUAAACAUGAGUACGUGAGAAGCACGUGACUAUGUUUAGGCUAAGAUCUGUAUGGUGGAUAUAUUUGAUAAAUGACAUACGCUCUUAUAGAAAGAGUAAUCCACUAUAGCAUGUAAUUCAUACUACAUGUGCAUUAUACGACCAACAAGGGAAGGUGAGUAAAAUUAUCCCUAUUUACUCAUAGUGUGAGUCCUUGAGGUAAUUUAUAAUUUACCUCAACUUUGUGCCCUAUGUUACUUCUGACUAUGUUCUCGAAGUGAAAAAUCAGUGUUGCUACUUUAGCAUGUUACGGGCGGACAUGAAUAGAUAUGACCUAUGGGACAUGUCUAGGAAAGCAGUUGUUCUGAAAUUGAGAGAGACAUGAGUGCGAAGGAAGACUAUUGUUGUUUUACAUCUAUCACAUGUAUUUACUGGUCGACCAAUUAUAUCGCCCUUUGUGGUUGCGGAUGUAAUUGUAAAUACAUGGUGUUUUUUUUUAGAAUAGUAAAGUAUAGCCUUUAAGGGAUAGGUAUACUUGGACUGAUGUAACAAAAUAUGUCUGGGGCACUGUGAGACAUCCAUUGUUUAUUUCUUUUCGGGGUUGUAGCCAUUAUGUUAUCCCUAACAGGUGCAUAAUUUGAGCUCCCAAGUGCAGGUGUACUCACUGGUCGCACGGCUUAUUUGCCAGUAUAAAUUGUUUUGUAAAGUUGAUGAAUGUUGAAUGCCUUAUAUUCUUGAUAGAGCGCUAUCAAACCCAUCAUGUCCGAGUGGGAGAUGUAGUACUUUAGCUUUAGCUGGUACGUCCAUGAUGGGGUGCAAACGGAACGCACCGUUUCGUCUUGAUGCGUUACGAUGGAAAGUCACUAAUGGAGGGGUACGAAGGGAGACGUAUAAAAUCCUCCCGAACACAACCGUUGGAAUGGUUGGCCAUUCAUUCGCACCAAAUUUUUUCUCCAUUUUCAUUAAAGAAGAUCAAGGCGUUCCAUUUCAUCUUUGCAAGAACAAUCGGCAUUUAUGCCGUGGAAAUCGGGUGUUUUCCUCGUGAUUGCAUCCAUACUAACGUGAGGUAGUGUUGUUUGUGAUUUCGUCGGCAAUUCAACGUUCGUUCCGGGGCUAUUUGCUGUUUGCGCAUCGGAAUCAGGUAAGUCGUCUUCCGCCGACUUGAAUUCCAACAGCAUAAUUGCUCACCAAUAAUUGUAAAGAGUGCUAGGAAAUUAUUCGUGGAUUCAAAUCAAUAACUGCUUGUAAAAACUGCCCCAUGGUAAGAGAUAAAAGCCCCAUGUUAUAAUCAUUGUAAACAAAAUCAAUCAACACCUAAUUUUCUAUUCUUAUGCACAUUUAAUUUCUUCUUUAAUUUUCCAGCAAAUGCACCGUUUUAGUAUCUUCAUAUAUUCGUCCCUUUAAUGAUUCUCGCAACUUUUAAUUUCCGAUACUUGCACUGCAAUUUCUUUACUUCUAUAGUCAUUUACAUUCUUGUCUAGAACCAACAAAGAAUCUAUUUUCUUCAAUAUUCAUCGAUCCGAUUCAUCUAUUGAUAUUUACACUUUUUGGUGAAACACUAGCCUCAUUGUUUGCACUAGUGAAUGUUUGGAGUUGAACUCGUGUCAAGCAUUCUAAUUAUUCCACAAACAUGUGUUACUUUUUAUAUCACUAAAUCAACUCUAAUGGAUUUUGAUGUUAUAACUUCCAAACGAAGAGCGUGUAAAGAGUGGAAAUUAGAGAAUCACAGUUCGCUUACUUUAUAAUUUCUUUUCCAAAAAAAAAAAAUCUGAUCAGUUAUUGCAAGGAAAGAAUUAUUGUGCGACAAUAGAUGCUCAAUUAUUCGAUGGAGAUUAAAUCCUCAUACAUGUGUAAGGUGACAAUCAAUAAGGAAAGGUCUAAGGCACGCAUGAUGGUGAUGGAUUUGUAUCUCUCCAAACAUGCCUAUUUUGUGCACUACAAUCCGACAUGUCUUGUCCCAUAAAGCUUAAUCCAUUAAAUUGUGAGCCACAGAAUUUACAAGCAUCUAUGGAUUUAUUGUCAUCACUCUCAAAGAUCUCAAUAGUUGGAGCACUUCUCUCCAAAAAUGAGGAUAUAUUGAUGUGAAAUUGACACCCUAGAUAUCCAGAAGUUAGUGCAAACAUAAACUUCAAUCGUUCCUUUUCUAAUAUUUUCUAAAUAAUAGUAGGAUAAACUUCAAUCGUUCCUUUUCUAAUAUUUUCUAAAUAAUAGUAGGAUCAGUUAAUGUUAAACAAUGCUAAGCAAGUGGCAUGCAUUCACUUGUCAAAUGAAUGCACAUGUAAAGAUAACCUAAAUAUAUUUACCCUUCAUCUGCUUCGCUCAUAGGGCAUCUUUCUCAUAGGCACGUCUCUCUCUCUCUCUCUCUCUCUCUCUCUCUCUCUCUCUCUCUCUCUCUCUCUCUCUCUCUCUCUCUCUCUCUCUCUCUACGGAGGUAGGCACAAGCUUUGUCUUGUCAUCAAACUAGGACGAGUAGUAUUUUUAUAAAGAAAAGUGCACUAAAAGUUUUAAAAUUUAUCACAUCUUAAGACUUUCAAAAUUGUAAUCAAAUGGUAAAACUUGUCAAAAUAGUGUAAUUAAGUUCUACGUGCUCUAUUAUUAUUUUUCCCAAAAAAGAAAAAAGAUCCAAUCAGUUAUUGCAAGAAAAGAAUUUUUGUGAAGGUGAGUGACGGCAGAUUUUCAAUUAUUCAACAGACAUUAAUCCAUGUACAUGCGUAAGGUGACAAUCGAUAAGGAAAGGUCUAAGACACGCAUGACGGUGAUGGAUUUGUAUCUCUCCAAACAUGUCCUAUCAUGUGCAGUACAAUCCUAGAUGCUCGUCCCAUAAUGCUUAAUCCUUGAAAUUGUGAGCCACAUAAUUCAUAAGCAUCUCCAGAUUUAUAGUCAUUGCUCUAAAAUAUCUCAAUUUACCAAUUGGAGCACUUCUCGCCAAAAAUAAGGAUGCUAAUGUGAAACUGACACCCUAGAUAUCUAGAAGUGAGGGCCCACAUAAACCUCAAUCAGUCCUUUUCUAAUAUUUUCUAGUUAACAAUAGGAUAAAUUAAAAUUAAACAAUGCUAAAACAGGUGGCGCGCAUUCACAUGUCAAAUAAUUGCACACGUAAAUUUAAUCUAGAAAAGUUUUCUCUCCAUUUGCUUCUCCCACAGCUACACCAAUUGCACUAGCACUGGCCUCCAUAGCACUGCCAUUGAUUCGAGCAUUUUUCUCGCAAGCGUAACCACCUCAAUCCGGGCACUGGCCUACACCAGUUCUAAAAAUUUGUCGAAAAGUGCAAUCAAACCAUAAAAUCUUCAAAAAGUAUAAUAAGAUCUUAGAACUUGUCAAAGUUGUGUAAUCAAGUCCCUUUGUCAACUUUCUAUAAUUUCAUUAGUGAAAAAUGCCGACAUGAUUAUAUUAAUUACUUUUGUUAUGACCAAAGCAGAAACUACUACAAAUGAAACUAAGAAAAAUAUAAGAACACACAAAUUUACGUGAAAACUCUCAUGGGAAAAAACUACAGGGAGAGAAGAAGAAAAAUCUACUAUGGAAAUUUAAGGAUUAUCAAAGGUGGCUCGAUAAACCUUAAGAAUCUUUUUAUCACUCACUUUAAAUCUAAUAACUUGGGAAAAAAUAAUAUUUAUAUUGCUCCAUAAGAGGGGGUGCAAUCCUUGCACCUUUGCCAAGGAUUAGUACUGAAGUACUGGCUUGGGCCUCGACCAACACUAAACCCGGCUUUGUUUUUAUCAAGUUGGGUUGUCGCAAAUUUCAAUUUAAGUAUCAAAACUCAAUUUAGGUUGAAUGCCUGGGAACACAAUUCAAGAUAUUCUCAACAAUUUCUUGAGACACGUGGCAUCCACUAAGCACCACAUCAAAUAAUGAAACUUUUGGGAAAAAAAUUAAAGAAAGAAAGAGAGAGUAAAAGUAAAAUAAGAAAAAAAGGGAAAAUGUUUGAACAAAAGGCUAAUAAUGAAAAGAAAGGGGAAAAAAUUUAUAUUUAAAAAAAAAAAAAAAGCAAGACCUCGGCUUCUGGUUUCCAAAAGAAACAGCGGUUUCGACUCUUGCGAGCGAAAGUUGAGAUUGAAGGGAAUGAAUCUCUUUUGAACCCCGCAGAUCGCCUACGGACACUUCUUGGAUCAGUUUUACAUAUGAAAGGCUCCACUAUUCUGCCAUGGCUGUGGUAGGAUUGGCCAUUGCCGCCACAGCUGUACCUUCAUCACAGAUGCUGCGUCGACGGAGAGGUGCUCUCGAAUUUGCGGGCUGAGUCCAGCCUUUUCUACAUCGACCCAGUUCAUUCGGUUCCAUUUCGCAAUUUUGAUAAGGAACACUAAAAAUUUGAAAAAGACUUCCUACGCUCGCGAACAUAGAAAUAAACCAAAAAAAAAAGUUGGGGAGGAAGAUGUAGAUGUCUACGCUUGGGCAACGACAUCAUCCCCCUUUUUUUUCUGGUCUGAUUUCGCCUUCUAUCAAGGAGGAGCUUUGCAAUAGUUCUCAAUAAAAACCCCAUGUGGGAGGAAAAGGGUGAAGGAGAAGGGGAGUCAUCUUCAUGCAAGUGCAAGAUCUUGGCCCCUUUUUUUGUUUUUGUUCUUUUUUCCCCUAUCAUCCUUUUCUAUUCAUUUUUUUUUAAUUUUAAAAUUUUAUCUUUUUAAAUUUUAGAUUUUUUUUCUAAUGUGGCACUUGAUAGAUGCAUGUAUCUUAAUAAAAUAAUAAGCCAAAUUGAACUUAUUGGUGGAAGGACCUAUGUAUCAUUUUGACAAAUCUUAGAACUCAAUUACAUUUUUGCGUCAAUGAUCACGCAUAAUGUCCGUGACAAGGCAACCAAAAUUUCCCUUAGUUAGGUUUUCAUUUAUUAUUAGUAGGUGGCUCGACCCAUAAGUAUAUUCUAAAUUAGUAUGCACAUAUGUACAUGCCCUCAAUGGGUUUACAGAGAUACUAAGCAUAAUUAACCUUAAUCUCCAGAAAUCCACAAUUCAAAUCAAAACCCUUCUAACAAUUCAGAUUUAAUAACCAAAUCACGACAUUUCACCAUUUGAUAAAUAUCUAUACACACACACAUAUCAAAGUGCCACAAAAACCACAUUCAUAAAUGAUAAACUUUUUGUGAUUCUUUCAUAAAAGGUUUCACAAACCAUUUACAAGCAAUCGGUUCAAACUGAAGUCAAAGGAUGACUCCCCAUUUUAAACAAACAAAACCGCAGUAAAUGUUCGAUCCUAUUUUAUGCAACAAUAGAUGCAAUUUCUUAAACAUAUAUAAUUUAUUUCGUUUUCAAAAUAUAAAAACACAAAAAAUAAAUAGUAUCACUCGUAUGGGAAAGCGAAAAACCAGCAGGAGUAGUCCCCGCACACGACGCCAAAUACUUAUUUGUAAUUAUAAAGGGAAAACCAUUUGCAAGUUGAACUAGAAACACAGUGGUUUUGUUCCUUUCGCUUUAUCCGUUGUCCUUAUCGAGUCUCUGGUCCUAUAAAUUUCUGGCUCGAUCGACCAAACCCUUCGACAAUCGUCAGCAUUUCCGCUCCCUGAUUGAACAAAUACAUGCACAGCAGUUUCAGCACGAUGGCUCUCACCUCCCUCCUCCUCCACCUCCUCCUCCUCCUCUCUUCUCUCCAUGUCAGUAAUUUGUCAAGCUUUCACUCUCCAUGCGUACCCAACUGCUCAUCUCUCUCUCUCUCUCUCUCUCUCUCUCUCUCUCUCUCUCUCUCUCUCUCUCUCUCUCUCUGUGUUCUCAUGCAAAGACAGGGCUAUAUGUUUAAUUCGAUAUCUCACCUAAGAAUUGCUGAAAAAAUUUUGCGGCCAUUUACUCCAUUGGCAAUUUCUUCUCAUCCAUUAUUUGUUAACCCAAUCUCUCUAUACUGGUUUAGAGUGCACAGGCUAUCGGAUCAAAUGGGG